rnacentral:lncRNA from 1 species
ACAAAGAAUCUCACAUCAAAGUAGAAAACACAUCACAAUUUAAAAUAUCAAAUUAUCAAAAGUUCUAUAUCAAUGUAAGAUAACUCUUCCACAAAGAGAAAUAGAGUCAACAUGCUUUUAUUAUAUGUUCCUUUCAAAAAAAAAAAAAAAAGCUUUUAUUAUAUGUUGUGAUUAUAUAAUAUAAUGUAGACAAGCAACCCCCACUAGACCACAAAUUAUUUUAGUAAUUUAACAAUUCUUUUUGGUUUGGAUUUUUCAAUCCCCAAAAAGUCUUAUAAUUUUUUAUAAUUACACAAAAGGUUGGCGUGCAAUAACCACAUCUGAACUUGUCCACAUCCAAGUGUGUUUUUAGUUGAAAAGUAGAAGACUCGUGUUUUCUACUCACAGGUGUAAAGAAGGUAUUGUAAUUGAAAUUUAAUUUCUUAAAAGCAAGAUUAAAAAGCAUGUCAAUGUAGGACAAGAAUGUCACCAUUAUUCUGUUUAUUGGACACCCUUAUCUAAUUUAAUUUGGUUUUAGCCACUAAUAUCAAAGAAUUUUGUCUAUAUUCACCUAAUUUGUUCUUUAUAUGGGAAGGUCGUUGUUUAUGAAAUCUUCCCUAAAUAAUCUAUGUGUCUAAUAAUUUGAAUACUUGUCUUGAAAUUAUUGGAUGAUAGUGAGAAAUAUACCCCCGAUGUUCAUGGAAUCAUAAACCCAUGGACGAAGGCAUGCAUUACGAAAAAUUGAGCACCUACAUCAAAGAGAAUCAAAGUUUAGGUUUAUGUAUGCUCUAUCAUGGUGUAUUCGUGCACCAUGACAUUCCAUGAGAUGCACCAUGACUUAACUAUUAUAUUGCAGAGAGGUAUCAAUAAUGAUCUUUGAAGUAGAGUGGCCUUGCUGCCACGAUCCACUGAGAUUCAACCCUUGUCGUUUUGAUUCGUCCCUAAAAAAAAAUGAUAUUUGAAUUUGGUCUCAAACUAAUGCAGAAGAUUUACAAUUGUUGAAGAUCAUCAAAGUCAUGAUCUGUAUAUUUAUUGAGCAACUUUUUGAACUUUCCCUAAUCUUCACAUAAAAGUCUUACAAUAAAAAUAAUAAUAAUGAAACCACUCACAAAUUCUUUGAUAACUUAGUUUAGUGAGCAAAUUAGAGAUGAAUUUCAUAUUUUUGCUCCCUAAAUUUCUGUUAUUAGUAUAAUUUUGGCAAGUAUUCUAAUUGGAAAGAUGCUCCAAGGGAUCCUUUCAUCUGAAAAAAAUAAAGAGAACCUAAAUGAUUUCUCUAUAUAGCGUAGCAUGUAAUUUCAAAUCUUGGAUAAAAAUAUCAUAUUUUGCAAUUCAAUGGCCCCGUUUGCCACAAAAUAACGGAUGACAUAUAAGAUUGUUGAUAGGUGAUAGAGAAUAAGAUAGUUUUGGUGGUGUCUGGAGCUCGAACUCUGACCUUGCAUAUAUUAUGCAUUGUCCUUGCAAACUAAGUUAAGUUUACGGGGACAAAUAAUAAAGUAGUUGAUUGAACAUAUAGUGUUCAGUGAAAUUAAUGUUUGAACUAAUUUAUAAAUAUGAAAUAAGUUAAAAAAAUGCAUGUUAAAUCAAUAUUUAAUUUUUUCUCUCUCAAUAAGAUAAGAAUGGUAAAAUAAAGAGAGAGAAAAAGAUAAGAUAUAACCAACUUGAAUCAACUUAUAAAAAAAAGCACUCCAUAUACUAGUAAAAUAAGUUGUAAGCUCGUGAGAAAACAAUUGUUAUCAAACAUUUUUUGUGUGGUCAUAUGAGCUUAUAAAGAGCUAGCUUAUUGUGCGUUGUGACAAAUGUAAGGUGAGAUAGAAGUUCCACAUCAGAUGAAAAAGUGAUCUUGCCUCAUUAAAACGAUGGUUGAGAUCAUUUGACCUUUAGAAACUCAACAAUGUGAUCUUGCCACAUUAAAGUGCACACAAACAUGAGUUGGUCAAAGGGAGGGCGCACCCAUGCGUGUGUUCAGUGCAUGUUGGUGUGUGUGUCAAGCGUAUGUUGACACAUGUAAAACGUUUAUGUGGCGAUGAUGUGUACUGAAACAAAAAAUUCCUAAUAUCAAUUAACUUAAGGCCAAACUUGGUUCGACUGGACAACGACGUCACACUUUUGGUGGUCAGCUUCAGUGCGUCAUCACCCGUUUACAAAAUUGCUUACCUCCAAUCGCACAGUAGAGCCCGAUCUCCACUAUAUAAACAUGUUGUGUGUAAACUCUCCAAUAUAAAACUUUAAGGAAUUUUUCAAUUCACACACAAUCAGAUCUAGUAUUCCAACAAAUUUCAGUCACAUACAUUGCACAUGGAAAUUGGUAAUCCGUUCGUUUCUUCCAUGCAAUUCGUAGCUUUCUUCCCUUUGGCACAAGCAAAUUAAUCUUCUUAAGUUACACGUUUUCUUUCUAAAGGAAAGUUACAUUUAAAAGAUCAUAUUGCUAAACAAAUCAAUAAUCUCUCUAUCAUGGUUAAUUAAUUAUCAAUAGUUUCCUAAUUGAACAGUACAAACAAAAAGGACAUAAAUGUUAAAGAAAAGCCACCCAACUUUUCAAUUUAGUGUAUAUGGUCUCCUAUCCAACCUUUAUAUUUUUGCUACUAUUAAAUUAUUAUCUAUUUUGUUAUCAUGGGAUACUUUCGACAUUAAUUAAUUAAUUUUGUUGUAAAGUGAAAUGGACUAUGUGGCUCAGGAACAUCUGUUUGUAGUGGCGUGGAGAUCCUAAAGUUAGCUUUUCUGGUCGAUCGAUAGAGCCAAUGAUCUCUGAGUCACAUAUAAGAUGAAACUAUUUUAGUUUAGUUUAAUUUUUAAAGGAGAAUAUAAAUAUAUAACCUAGUGAUUCAACCACGGUUCCCUUAUUUCUUCACGUACUUGCAUUUGCAUACAUGGAUGUGGGGUGGUAGGUUAGCAAAAAUAAAACUCCUACAUGUAUAUUAUUAUGUUUUACAUAUGCAUUGUUUAAAUUAUGUGUAUCACUCUUGCCAACCAAAAAAAUAAAUUGUGUAGCACAGGCAUACACUUUUUACCUAUAUAGCUUUAUGAUCAAUAUAAUUAUGUGCUGAUGGUGUAUCUAGCAAACUAUUCUAUAUAUUUUGAGGUCAAUGAGGACCACUUAAGUUUUAAAAUAAAUAUAAGGUCUUUAAGAUAAUUUUCUAAAAUCCAAAUAAUUUGAUCCAUUAAAAUAUUUUAAGAAAUCCAAAUAACCAGAAAGGUUAAAAAAAUAAAUAACCAGAAAGGUGCAUAAUUAUAUGUAUUUUACAAACAUAAUCUGAAUAAAUACAUGUAUACAUAAAAAUGAAAUUUAGUAAUAUUUAUACAUGGAGGUUGAGUAGCUCAACUUACUACUAGAAAAACACGAAUUAGAGUCGGAAUUUAGGGAGGAAAAAAAUUUGUAACUAAUUGUGACGGUUUUAAAGACGGAUAUUCAUAUACACCACAAAAAUUGAGAGGACAAACAUUAGUGACAUAAUGGAUUAAUUAUCCGUCACAAAAAUUCCGUCACUAAAUCCCUCAAAAAAUUGAUUAGUUAAAUGUUUGUUAUGGAAAUGAUCCUUCUCAAAUGUUUCCCUCACUAAAACCAUCACUAAUGUCAACUGCAUAGUUAAAGAACAAUUGAAGGCUUACAAGGAGUUGAUCGUGCAUCGCAAUAAGAUUAACGUUUGUUUAGGGAGCAAAUGACUAAAUUUAUGAAAAUGUUUUCUCAAGGUCAUCUAAUUUAUGAAAAUAUUUUGAUUUUGGUUUUUCAAGAACAAUGUGCUACUUCUAAUACCAUUAAAUUUUUUGAAAAGUGUUUGUUAAGAAACUUAUUUUGAGAGUUUCCUUAUGACUUUUAUGUAUUUUAAGAGUGUUGAACAAUGGUUGUAAAUUUAUUGAAAGUAUCCUUGACGUUUAUGUUUUAUGGUGAUGAAUGCAUGUGAUGCUCAUGAAGACAAUUUAUAAAGUGUUUUUUUAUUGUGUAUUUAUAAUUUCCAACAAGUUUCAUAUGGUUUAAUAUAGUAAAUGCAUUUGCAAUAAUAAUAUAAUUAAUGAAAGCUGGCAAGAAAUUAAACAUUAGAUGAGGAAUGCAAAUUUUUGUUUGAAUUUUCUCACUAAUUAGUGACGAAAAUAAAUUGUCAUAAAAUCAUAAGUGUAGUCUGUGAGGGAAUUCAGUUUCGUCACAAUUAGGGACAUAAUAUACCCUCACAAUCUGUGAGGGAAUACCAAUCAGUCAUUAAUUAGUGAUAAAUAUUGGUGAAAAGGAUGGAAUGGUCCCUCACAAUUAGCGACGGAUUUUAUCCAUAUCCAUUAGCGACGGAAACCAAAAUCCCUCACCAAUAUUUAGCAAGGUCAAAAUUCGGAACGGAUUACCGGUCGUCACAAAAUUCGUUUGUGAGAAUUAUAGUAGUUUAUUGACGGAUUUCUACCCUCUCUAAAAUUGAUUUUUCUAGUAGUGUGACAAAGAGAAAAAGAAAAAAAAAAUUGAUAUAACGACCAAUAGUUUUUAAUAUUACAGAAAUGAUAACUAAACACAUAAAUUUAGCCACAAAUACGACACCAGGGGUAAAAUCGUAAUUUCCAUUAAAAAACAUGUGCAUAAUUGGUUUUCCAACAGAAACUGAGGGGUAUUUUCGUGAAUUUUCAUUCAAUUUCUUUCUCUCUCUAAACUUUCUCGUUGUCUUCUCCGAUCCACCUUAUGUUCUCACCACCACUGCAUUUUCUCCAAUCCACCCACUGUUCCACCACCAUACCCUCUUCUUGUUUUAUAGAUCAGGUCCCAAGGAAAGAAAUUUGCAUAGGAGAGAGAUCUGUAAAAGAGAGAGAUGUAGAGAAGAGUGAGAACAGGAGAGAGAUGGCAGAGGACGACUGCCGAUCGUUGUGGGUUUGCGGAGAAGAGAGAAAUUGAGAUUUGAUUUGCAAAUGAGUAUGGGUGGUCGUCGACGGAGUUGAAGAGAUGGAUGGAGUCGACGACGGUGGCUGGUGGCCGGAAGGGGUGUGUUCGAGAGUUGCAGAGACGGCACAAGAGAUGAUGACUUGCAAAGAUGGUGUUGGGAUGGUAGUUCGCAGAUGAAAAGAAGACGGUCUGAGUUGCAGGGAAAAGAUUAAAAUAAAAUAGAAAGCAUAAAUGAAUAAGGAUGUCGUACGGUGUCGUAUUCUUGUCCAAAAACUUGUGUCCAGUUAUCAUUCCUGUUAAUAUUAAGUGAGACUUAAUUUUUUUUUUUUAAUAUAUGAAGUCUAUUUUAUCUGCAUAUGAUGCCUUUAUUAGAAGAUGUGUUAGGGGUCUGCUACAAUAACUUAACUAAGAAGAUGAUGAAGAAGAAUGCACAUAUAACUUUCAAAGCAUGUGUGAGACACACUAACCUUUAGGUUCGGCUCGUUCCCACCAAUUAUGUCAACAAAAUGCAAAAUGGUAUAACGGUGAAUCCCCUUCAGGAUACUUUAAAAUCUUUGACAUGACUUGCACAUUCAUACUAAGCGUAUCGAACAAUGUUAAUUUACAAAACAAAGUUUUGUCGAUUUCUCUCGUGCACUAGAGAAAAGAAAGAAUGAUAUAGUAUUAUUUUAGGCAGUAUUUUGACUCACAAGAAUGUGACAUUCUAUUCUAUUUUUUUGAAUGAUUUUCCUACUCCAAAGUAUAUCUAUUUAUAGAGAAACUUAUGUUUUUUUUUUUUUUUGUGAAGAGAUACAACUCUUCAACAGAGAUUUUGCAAUGACAAGAUGCAGUGAUUAUAUUGGUCAAAUAGUCAAGCAAUACAUCUUUUCACUUAAAUGUCUCUAUUCAAUCAUUGCAACUUUUCAAAUUUAUAUUUUGGAAAUUCCUUUCACAACCUUUUUAUUUGUAAAAUCUAAAGAAAAAUACUUUUUGUUGGUGUGUCUAAAACGAUAGUUGCUUAUAAAGGACUCUUAUUAUGUUUAAUUCUCGUUUUUCAUCUUCGUAAUAUAUUAAAUAAAUCAACGUAGAAUUAAACAUAAUAAAAGUAUUUUAUACUUAUAAACAUAUUUUUUUGAAGGAACUUUUUCAAAAUUUGUGUUGGAUCACAAUCUCACAAAACCGGUUCCACUUAUGUCUUAUCCCUUUCAAUGCCAGACUUUUACUGACUUAUUAUUCAUACAUAAUAUCAAAAUUAAGAGGUUUAUUUUUUUAUAUAAGAAAAUAAUGGUUCACACACACUUUUUUAUAUGUUGAAUAAAUUAUUUCUAAAAAAAUAUAUUAAAUUAAUUAACAUGGAUAUAUAACCAUUGUUUAGUUAGGUCAAAUGUUUAUUUGUUAGAAUCACUAAUGCAUUCAACGAUGUUUGUUCAAUUGGUAAAAGUUGACUCAUAUUUUAUGUUCUAUAUACGUGAGUUCAAUUUUCGCAUUUGUAUAUAUUUUGAUCUAGUUCCCCUCUUUUUGUAUAUAUUUUUCUCAUUUUUUAAUAAAAUUUUAGAGUUUGGCGGUAUAUGAUGGAGGUUUCUCGGGAUACCAACCUAGUUGGUUUGUCGAUGUUUCCUUUUGAUAUAUGUCCUCUCUUCUUAUCUAGUAUAAAUAAAAAAAAAUCUCUCGUAUUUGUGGUUAUAACCUUGUUAGCUGAUAAAAAAUUUAAGAAAAUGUAUCCACUCUCAACAUUUCAUAAGAAAAUGUAUCCACGCAGCCAUGCGAGUGUGCUUUGCGAUCUUAUCUGUUCCUGUAAUUGUGACAUGGUGUUGUAAUUGAACAGUGUGAGAUUAAUUUUUCUCUUCAACCAUGUAACAUCUACGCACAGCUAAAUUCUUGCGGUAGAUAAAGGACCAUAAUAAACAAAUAAAUUCCAUACAACAAAUAUUUUAGUGCACAUAUAAUUUUCAACACUAGAGACCGGUGAGUAGGUAUAAAUAUUCAAAAUAUAAUUAAAAAUAUAAUUAUAUAUGUAUUUGUAAAACCUCUCAACAAAGUUUUUCCAGGUAAUUACAUAGCAGAUACAUCAUACAUGUGCUCCGUUCCAAAGUUUUUCCAGGUUGUUAUAUGGAAUGCGAAGUUCAACAAGAUUCCAUGGAGAAAAAUUUGAUGGUAGAGAAUUUAAUGGAUACGCAUUCCAUUCAAAGCUUCUCAAAUUGUUAGGCAAAAAAUCAAGACCCCCACAAAGAUGCACAUAAUUAAUUCCCUUAACAUCUUGAUUGUGGCCUUCGAAAACAGGUAAUCUUCGGUUUGACAUAUUUGUAAAUGCUUUAGAGCUCAAAUUUAUGCAGGUAAAUUUGAGCCAUUUCUAUGCAUAUGCUUUCAAGUGCACUACUCCCCUAAUAAAUGAAAAUUAGAAUCAAUGUUAAUACUUUGUGGUAAGUUGCAGUUAAAAACACACACAUACAUACAUGUUUUUUGGAAUGCAAAGCUAUAUAUCAUUCAUACAUUAUUGUUUGUCAACACAUCACAAAUUUCGCUAGCAUUCCACAAUCUACUGCGUUUUCCAGGGUUUUUGAUAGAUUCUUCCCGAACAAUUUGCCUAUCCAUUUCUUGUAUCAAGUCAUGUAUCUCUAUGUGACUGUUUAAAGUAAUAGUUACAAGAGCCUUGUCUAACAAGUUUCUUAUCCCAAUAUCUGCAAAGAAACCAUAGGCAUUUAAUAUUUUUGUUACACUGCUGCUGCUAGAAAUAUAUUUUUCUCUGUAUCAUCUAAUUCAUCAUAACUUAAUCUCAACACCUUUUGAAUUUCAGCAUUGGAAAUUUCCUUCAGUUUAUUUAGAGCACUAUCCCAUUCUUUUUUACUUUUUGUACGAAGAAAUGAACCCAGAACUUUCAAAGCCAAAUGGUUGCCUUUUGCAUAAGAAACUACAUUGUUUGAUAUUUCCUACAAACAUUUUUGUAAGAAAUAAAUUAAAGGGAUAAAAUUUCAGUCAUACAUGAGAGUUUCAGUCCAGGACCUCCAACUACUGAUUUCUUCACACACACGCGCGCGCACGUACAAGUUUUGAUAUAUGAAACAUUUUUUAUUUGCAUAUGAGGUUUUACUAGCAUUACUUUUGGAUCAACACACACACACACACAAGUUUGAUAUAUGAAACCUUUUUUAUUUGCAUAACUCUGAUUAUAGGAUACAUGUAUGGUAAUAAGAAGGCAAGUUGAAUGCGAGUUUUGCCGCUCUUUCCCAAACCCUCUUGUAAAAAUACCUACAUAUUAUCCCUAUUUAUGACAAUGAAUCUUGACUCAAUUUAUAAUGAGUUGACUCCUACCAAAUAAGGGUAUGAAUUCAAUUCUUGUUGCCAAUGUGAGGACAUCUUUAAAGGAGGAUAUGUAAAUUCCUAUGCUAGUGAUCUCUAAUCCUUGAUGUCUGCUCUAGCUCUAGUGAGCCUCCAAAAUCUAAUUCACAUAAACUUUUCUUUAUAAAUAAAAGAUUUUACUUUUUUUUUUUUUUUUUUUUUUUUUUUUUUUACUAUCUCAUCUUAAAUUUUGUUGUAGGCCUCAAAUAUAGAAGAUAAAAAGAGUUUGGUUUUGUUUAUGUAACAUGUUUGUCGAAAGUUAAAACUCACUAAGAAAUUACAUCCCUUCGACUAAGUUGGAAGAUAUCCCUUACCAUCUCAUCCAUAUAGAUGAACUAAAACUAAUUUAUAAGACUAAAUUAUCAUAUUAUAAAUUUGAAGGAUUAAAUUAUCCAACCCUUUUAAUUUUUCAAAGAUCGAAAUAUAUGCCAUUUGAGAGAGAUAAAUGUAAAUAUUUUUGUAAGUGUUCUUUGAAUUCUAAGGUCUUCGUUAUCUUGAACUUAGAUACCAUCUCUCCGGUCUAAAUUUUAAUUAAAAAAUAAUUAAAAUACAUAUUAGAUGAGAUGACACGGGUCUCUUAUAGUUUAACUAAAGUCAUGGUUUCAAAUCCAAUCUUGAACAUGCAGCAACAUUAACACACUUAAAGAGAGCUUGCCGCCCAUUUAAAUCCCACAAGACUCAAGUGAUUAGUCUCCACAAUUACGCACGAGAAGGAUACCUGAUUUGAAAAACAAAUAAUCAAUUGGGCCUAAUAGACAAUUCUCGCAUCUCAGCCUUAUUAUCUCUACAAACUUCAAUCCGAAAAAGAUACGACACACAAGAGUUGAAAAUCCAAACGACAGUGUUUGUUGAUUAAAAUGUCCUCAACCAAUAAUUAAAUUAUUGAUAUGCUUAGUUGUCAAUCCAAACAUGUCAUAUAUAGGAACGCAAAAACAAAACUCAUUUUUGGGCAGUUUGAGAUGGGAAGAUAUAUGAUAGAUGCUUAAUAUGGCUUGUUCUCGUGAGCUUAGUUCAGUUGGUAGAGACAACAUAUAAUAUAUGUAAGGUCCAGGUUCAAAUCCCGACCACCAUAAAAGAAUGCUUAAUAUAGGUUAUUAAUACUUGGCUUUUAUAUGUGUUUAUUCCCUGCAAAUAGGGGUCAUUUAAAAAUUGGUCCCUGUAUUCUUUAAUCCUGACAAUUUGUCCUGCCAAAAUUUAAUCAUUUAAUAUUUCGUCUCUCUCCCCACUUAAUCACUACCACGUCACUAAUUACAGGGAUAUUUUUGUAAUUUCAUGUUUGUAAUUUCAGCGACGUGGCAUUAAUUAACUGGGCUGAGGGACCAAUUUUGAAGUGAUUAAAUUUUGGUAGGGCAAAAUGCCAGGAUUAAGGAAUACAGAGACCAUUUUUUAAAUGACCUUUAUUUGCAGGGACUAAAGACACACAUAUGAAAGCCUUAAUACUUUUUGAAGCAAAAUUGAUUUGAAAAGGUUCGAAAGAGAAAAGAACACAACCAAGUUGUUUGGGCUCCACUGGCAAGGAGCUCCUUACAAUGAUGUACCCUGGAAAUACCGAGUUCGACUCCUAGGGGAACAAUGCUUGACUAGUACACAUGUCUCUAUAUACGAGCCGGAUUAGACGUUCAUAUUUAGUGGAUCGGAAACCGGUGCAAAGUACAUUCAAAGAUCUUUAGAUGUAGGUUCAUCAAAGUAUGACCUUCUAUAUCCUCGUUGAUAAUGCAAAUUUAAGAAAUUGGAUUUCAACUGAGUUGUGUGUAAAGUUUCCUAUGGCCUUAAUCUACGUGCAUCCACGGUAUCUCCUCCUCCUCCAGAAUCAAUUCCAAUGUCUUCCAUCUCAUCUUCCUCUCAUGACGAUCUUCACCUUAGAAAUGAAUAUUUUCAACUACUCCCUCUCUUUUUGAUAUGACAAAGGGGGGAAUGAAUUAAGGAGCUAAAUUUAGAAAUUUGAGAAGUAAUAUUUUGUGUACUCUAGAAAUGAAUAUUUAGAAAUGAAAUUUGAGAAGUAAUUUAGAAAUUAAUAUUUUCAACCACACGAUCUAAUGUUUGCUUAUUUCUCCUACUAGUAUUUUAAUUUCUAAAUUAGGAUUAAUUGCUUUUUAUUUUGUUUUAAACCAUUUGAAUAUUCAAGAAAAUCAUUUGUGAUGUAAUUUAUUUAGUAUGAAACUAUGAAUGAUAUAUUAUGGUUCAAGUAAAUCACAAGUUUAGUUACUCAAUUUGCAUUUUAAAACUUUAAUAUGAUAUUGAAUGCUAAAAUUUUAGGGAGAGCUCUUUGUUAAAAAUAUACAAAUAUUGUUACUGAUUUGCUUAAUGAGAAUCAUAAAUUAAAAUCUAAUUCAACAAGUUUGUCAUCAUAAAAAAUAAGAGUUGCUGAGGUAAAAUUCCAAUUUUAUAAUAAACAUUUGAAGAAUAUUUUUAAGACUGAUAUCUAACCUGUACUUUUGAGUGGUUUAAUUUAUAGACAGGUUCUGAUUAUGAUACAAGCAUCUCAUAUUCGCGACAUAAUUUAAUCCAUCUUUGUGACAUGAUGCAUCCCUCUAAAUUGCGAUAGAUUGAUAUUUUGUAACAAAAUCCAUCACUAAUUUGUGGUCAAAAUCAAUAAUUAUAUGUUAUGUUUUCGUUUGGUAUUAGUGAUGGAAGAAUUAAGAGUUUGUUUGAGUUCAAGUGGUUAAUGAGUUCCACAUAUGAUGAAUUGUUUAAGAGAAUCUGAAUUCGAUUUCUGAGUGAAAUAAUUCUAUUAUUAACCAAACUUUACUUAUCUUCUGAUCGAACUCCAAAUUAUCAAGACUAUUUCCAUUGAGAACUAGAGGGUUAACACAACCAAAAAAACUAAGAGUUGUCUAAUAUGAACCUCCUAAAAAAGGUUUAAAGUUGGACAUUUACUAUUUUUAGCAAAAGAUUGAAUUUUAUAAUAAUAAUAGUAAAAGGAAAAAAAUGUGUAAUGUUUUAUCAAAACUUACAAAAAUCGAAUUUUUCUAGAAGUCGAAAUUUUUUGGUGGAAUCUAGAGAUCAAUUUUAGAUUAUGUCCAUCUAAAGUCGAUCAUUUCCGUUUAGAGAUCGACUUUAGAUAGACAUGAAAAACUCAUAUAUGUGAGGAUACAAUUAUGUCGCAAUUGGCUAAAAUUUCUAGAUCUCCUAGCUAAAUAUUUAAUGUCCAACAUCCACGGUUUUGUUUAUGUGGUUACAUUAAUUAGUUUGCGACGAAAUUGUGUUGCUUUAGCGACAAAUCACAUACCCUAUCUAAAUUUAGUUUUUUUUCUUCUUCUAAUGGAGUGGCCAAUAAUAAAUAGUUUCUUUUAAGGGAUAAUAAAUAGUUUCUUCAAAAAAAAAAUAGCCAAACACAAAAGCUAUCGGAAAAAAGCCCAAGGACCCAAAAAGAUCCCCGGUCACACACAAAACCAACAAAAAAUGAAGCCCAUCCCAACACGCCAACAUGAGAAAUAAAGACAAAAAACACCCACAUGACAGAAGAACCUCGAAAUCCUGGAACCACCCAAACCCUCAAAGACAUAUAAGAUCCAUAUGUGUCAAACAACAUUGAACCCUAAAGGUGUCAACGUACAAAGAAUUGGUUGUCUCCCACUCGUAAGGGGAGCCGCGCGAUGCCUAGAGAAUUUACCAAAGAAUCACUCCCAAGAAUGAAAAAUAAUCCAAUCAACAUGUUGCUGCUCAGUCUCGAAGUUACUUCUUGAGAAAGGUCAUUACGAACUUUUCAAAUAUACCACACAUUCGCAUGCCCUAGCUCUCCUCCUAUAUACACCUAAAAGAGAACACACCAACUAAAUGUUAAGAACUCGGACACUGCAUAUCAAAUGCUCAUACACGACUACCAUAUUUGAUGUACUGAUUGUGUACUCUUUUUUUUUAUCCAAAAGUACUAAAAGUAAAUGAAGAAAGAAUAUGAGGAAGUAUACAUAGUACAUUUUUAUUUGUCUAAAAAGUAGUGAAAAUUUAACAUGGUUGGUUAUUAUAAAGUAAAACUAGCAGCCCUAAACACCGUAGUAGCAAACUUAAGCCAAACCCAUGCUGGCCCAUCAACUUAUAUAAUAAUUACCCACGAACGUUAGUGGAAAAACUCGGUUGCAUAUUUUAUUGUCUCCCCUAUAAUUGUUAUAACCUACAAAUACUUAUACGUCACUUAAAUUUGAGCAAUCUCAUCCAUAAAUUCCCACCCCACAAGGCCACAACAACGAUUAAAGAAACAAAUUAAGAGAGAUUAUACAUACAUAUACACUCCUACUUAGGUCCAUUCCACCAAUUAAAGGAAUCACAAACAAGAAGAGAAAAAUAAAAUAGCUAGAGAGAAAUACAUAAAGAUGAGUGAAGAAUGUGGUGGAAACACUAUUGCUACCUCUACUACUCCAUUAAACUGGUGGUAUCUUCAAGCAAAUUCUCUUUCUUCUAAUUGGAAUGAUGUUAAACAUGCAUGGAACAACCAAAUGAAUAAUCCAAAUUCUUCCUCUUCUUGUGAGGAUCAAGAUAUAUCAGUUUCUUCUACAUCUUUCACCAAUGCAUCAAACCAUUCAAGCCUCACUGUUGAAUCCUCUCGAAGAGUAUUCGUCGAGCCGCAUGCACCACCUUCCUCCAACGACUUCAUGGCCGAACAUGCUUCGGAUAACCAACUAUGGAGUCAUGUUUUAUCGUAAGUUUCGUAAAUUGUUAAUUAUUACAAUUGUGCUAUAUGUUAUAAUGAAAACUAGUCUCAAUAUCACGAAAUAAUGUGCGUUAGAAUUUCAGUACAAAGGAAAAAAAAUUCAUAUGCUAUUGACUGAAAACAUGGAUCUGUCCAAUGAUAUUAUUUUGUGACACUUCUUAAUGGAACCCCUUCAUGACAGUAAACAAUUUCCUAAUUAUUAAUAAAUAUCUGAUGUUUUUACUGCUAUAUAUUAUUGAAACUGGCAAAAAAUUUUAUUGCUAUAUAAGAGACAAAUCUUUUACAGUUUUAGGUUAGAAAUUUUGUGAAGUUUAAGGGUGUUUUAAGUUAGGUAUAUAGGGUUAAAGUAUACGAUGGUUUUUUUCAGUGUGAGUAAAUAAUAUUCUUCUAGGCCUUUGCUUUCCACUAUCUAUAACAUGCUAACAGCUGUUAUGUGCACUAUAAUCAGUGUUUUCACACUAUGCAACAAUGAUCUCUUGUUUAUCCAUCCACAUACCAAUAAAAACCCUCUUGGAUUCUGUAAGAUAUAUAAUUAAAAAGUAAAUUUAUUAUAUAUUUUAGUAUAUAUACAGCUAAUUAGCUUUUUGUUUUGAUAAGAAAUGUUUGUAUAUUUUAAUUACAACUAAUUUACUUUCUUAUGUAAAAUAAUUUAUAGAGGUGUUGAUUCAAAUGGAGAGUUACACAACAACCAAGAAAUUGGAGAGAAUUUCUUGGAUGGACUAUCAUCAAAAACCAUGACAAACACUAUGUUUGAUGAACCAGCUUGUGACUAUUUGAAGAAACUUGAUACAACAAGUUGGGAAUAUAAUACUAGUGGUUCAACUUCAUUCAAUACUAAUUUUGAGAAGCACUUAAAUGGGUACAGUGAAGCUCUUAUUGAGAAUAAUGAAAGGUUGACAAAAUUAUCCAAUCUUGUAAGCACUUGGUCUAUUGCCCCACCUGACCCUGAAGUUAGUAGCCACUUUGAUUCACAAACAAAUAACAAUUUGUCUACUAAUUUGAAUAAUUCUAAUUCGUCCAAUAUGGAUCAUAAUCACUACACACAUGAUUCUGACCCUAAUUGUCAUUUCAAACUACCUUUUGGUGAUUCCACAUCAUGUACUAUUAGAGAAGGAGUAGGUAAUAAAAUGUUCCCUAGUUGCCUUGAUAUUCAAGACAUGAAUAAGGUUAAGGAAGAAUAUCAUCAUCAUGCAAGUGAAGUGAUGCAAGGACAUGUAUUUAGAAAAUCACUUAAUCCAAAUGGAUAUCUUGAUGGAUUUAACUCAGUGGGAGAUCACAAUGGCAAAUUUUAUGAAGGGUUGCCAAAUAUUUCACCAUGCACCAAAAAUUUCUCAGAUGUUAUAUCCUUUAAUAGUAGGCUUGGAAGGCCAGUUGUUGGAAUCCAUCCACAAAGGCCUAAUAUGAGAUACUCAAACUUAUCUGAGUCAAAGAAACAAGGGCUUCAAACACCAUCACAUGUGAGUUUUUUCUUCUUCUUUUAUAGACAAAUUUUAUUUGUUAAUUUGUUUUGUUAGCAGCAUACAAAUUUCACUUAAAAUAGUGAUGAUCCAUCUUUAUAUCCUAUAUUUUUGAGAGAUCCAUAUUUUUCUAAAACGGUAAAAUUUAUUAAUAAUUAAGUUUCUGCACUAGACGAACAGAGACCUGUAAAAUAUAUAUGAGACAAAUCCGAAAAAAUAUAUGAAGUAGCGACAAAAAAUUUAAAAAGAAAUUUUUAUAAUGUAUUUGUCUCUAUAAAUUAGACAUGGAAAUUUAAUUAUUUUUGUUUCUAAUUUCUUGGUUGAUUUAACUUUUUUUAGUAUGGCAACUAAUUUCUAUUCAAAAUUUAGAGAAAAAGUCAUGCUAGCUCUGACAUUAUUUUGUCAAAUAAAAUGUGUAUGCAAUUAAUUUAUGCAGAUGAGAACCACUAAUGGAAGAGGAGAGGGAACAACACGUGAAGUAAAGAAGAAAAGAUCUGAAGAAUCAUCAGAAGCAAGUUUGAAAAAGCCUAAGCAAGAUACUUCAACAACAAAUUCAUCUUCAAAGGUACAUAAAUAUAUUUAUUAUAUAUUAUGUAAUAUACGUACCAACAUGAACUAAUUAUGAGUGUAAAAAAGUCAUAUAAAGUGGGGGAAACCUUUUUAUUUUGUGUAUUAAUGUAAAUUAAGAAACUUCUAUUGAUUGUUUAAAAGGUGCAAGCACCUAAAGUCAAGCUAGGAGACAAGAUCACAGCCCUUCAACAAAUUGUGUCUCCAUUUGGAAAGGUUACUACAGAAUGCACUAAUCCCCACACCCUCUUCCCUUUUUCAUUCCUAUCUUUUUUGUAUAAAUAAUUCACAGUGCUUUUACUUUUCUCACUACCUACUUCAUAAUAAUCAAUUUAUUUUAUUUUUCUUUGUUGAAUUUCAGACUGAUACAGCAUCUGUGCUGUUUGAAGCAAUAGGGUACAUAAAGUAUCUUGAAGAACAAGUCCAGGUGUGUAUCAUUAUGGAAAAGUUCCCAUUCAUUAUGCAUUAUAUGUAACUAUAUAGUAUAUAAUAUACAUUAUUGUUGCUUUUCUCCUCCUUUUCAUUUUUAAUUAAUGCCAAGGAAACUUGACUUCUAGGAUUAUUAGUUCUUUAUCAAAAUGAAUAAACUAACAACAAUGCUGUGUUGAGCGAUUACACAUUUUCCAUGAAUAUCUCAUGAGCUUCAUCAACUAUAUAAUAUAAGGAGAUUUUAAAUAACACCUAACUAAAAUCUAAUUAUGAUUAGUAAAAAUAUGUGCCCCUGCCAGUAUGUUAAUCUUAGCUGCAACAAAUUACAAAAUUGUAUACUAUUAGUAGAUUAAAAACAAAACAAAAUGAAAAAUAAAAAUUUUAUAGGGACUAAACAUGUUUAACCAUGUACCAAAAAAAAAACAUAUUUAACCAUAUAUACUUUAAGUGAUUAAAGAUGCAGGUUUUUUUUAUCAUAACCCUUCCAUUCCUAGAAAAUGGCCUAUAUAAUACAUGUUCCGGCCGGAAAGUAAGUAAAGUCUGACAAAUAAUCAUUUUAAGUCAUAAUUUGAAACCAAGUUUCUUCUAAACUAUUGGUAUUAAAGGUGCAGCUUCAAACACAAACAGUUCAACUAUAAGUAAUAUAAUCAUCUUUUUCUUCAUUAUAUACAAUUAACAGUUUAAUUUAUCUUUAAUUAAUUCUUUUUACGUUCAUAAUUAUUAUGCAGUUACUGAGCAACCCUUACUUGAAGGCAAAUUCACACAAGGUAAUUAAGAAAUUAAUCUAUAUAUAGAUAUCUCUAUUAAGUACUUUUCAAAAUUAAAUUAUUCUCUCAAAAUUUCACUCUUAAUUAGAGAUGAUUAACAUAAUAAUUAAUCCAGGAUCCAAGGGGAAGCUACUUCGAUAGAAAAGAUAAGGAGGAUGCAAAGCUAGACCUUCGAAGUAAAGGUCUUUGUUUAGUUCCUACUUCAUGUACCCCUAUAGUUUAUAGAGAGAACAAUGGGCCAGAUUACUGGACACCAGCGUAUAGAGGAUGUAUGUAUAGGUGAUUAAUAACACAUGCAUAUGACUUAUGCCAAAAAUAGUAUGUGGUUGUAUGUACUAUAAUCUUGGAAAUUAUAAGAUCUCGUCAAUAAAUCAUAUAUUAUCCUGAAUGUAACUAUUUAUUUAUUGUCUUGAUGUAAUGCCUGGUUACACGAGUAUACACAUUUUAGUUGACCUUCAAACAAGGGCUAGUACUUAGCAUUAUUGAUUUUUCUUUUUUUAAAGUUCUCUUACUAGAAAGAAUGUGUUUUUCAUACUAAAAAAUUACUUGAGUAAAAAAAACGAUAUUAAUAAAAAGACUCUUAAAGUAAAAAUGUUUCUCUCAGUGAUAUAGACAAAAGAUGCACAUUUUACCAAUUUAGCUCUCCAAUUACAAACAAAUUAUUAACAGUCACAAUUGUUGGAUGAUGUAAAAAUUUGACAUUAACUAAUGUUUUUUUUACGGAUUAAUAAUUUUUUUCUACGAAUAUAUAUUCAAUUUUCAUUUUCUAUAGUUUUAUUCAAAUUGCUAACGAAGGAAAUGAAACACUCAUGUAAUGUAUAUGUGUGAUAGGGAGAAGGUGAUAAGCAAACUAGCUAGGAUGAAUGUAUUUUCAAAAUCAAUGAAAAUAAUGUUUAGGCACUUUCAAAGUUUAUCAAAAAGUUUUAUAUGUUUUAAAAAAAAUGUAAAAGAAGAUUGUGAUGAAAAUAUUCUUUUAUGUUCAUUUGUUGAAGUGAAAAUAAAAAAAAAUAAAAUAAUAUUUAUUAGGUAUAAUUCAGAGUAUAAUUAAUCUCACAUUGAGUCUCUCAUUAGUUGGUUAGUCAAAAGAAUAUGAAAUUCAUUUUAUUUUCUAAUCGAAAAUUAAUUAUAGCGAAGCAAUUAGAUAAUUCACACCUAUAAUACAAUCUUUAAUUUUCUAAUAGGUGUAAAUUCUCUUAUAGGUGUGAAUUAUAGCAAUUAGGUAAUUUUCUAAUACAUACCUAUAAAAUUAUCUAAUCUAAUUGUUAUAAGAAACUUCUAAGGUACACUCAGAAAGUGAGGUGUACCGGUACUCAUGCUUCAUAAUUUUAUAAAUUAACGAUCAUUUUUUAUGAAAUAAAUAGUUAUUUGUUAAUAUUAAUAUUUUAUAGAACAUCAUUUCAUAAGAAAAAACAUCAUUUCAUUGUUUAUAAGAAUUAUAAUAAUUUUUUUUACAUAUUAUCAUAAAAAAUAAUCAAUGUUCUCAAUUAUGAGUGAAAAAAAUUCAAAAAAAAUUAAUUUUAUUUCGUUGACACUUUUGAUAAAUAAGAUUUAAUUAUUAUAAUUAUAGAUGAUAAAAAAUAAUAUUUUUCUUUAAAAAAACAACUCAUUUAACUAUUAAUUUAAAAAAUGAGUAUACCAAUACACUCAAAUAUAUUGGAUGUACCAUAAAAUUUGCAUUGUUAUAAUUAUCUUAUACCGAAGUAAUUAGAUAAUUCACAGGUGUGAAUUUUUUGAUGAUUGUAUUAUAAGUGUGAAUUAUCCAAUUGCUUCGCUAUAAUUAAUCUCCACCUAAAAUUUCACUAAUCAACUUUAGUUGAGUCUCUCUUCUCAAUUACUACCUUCGUCCUAAUUAUAAGACUCUUUUGAAAAAAUAAUGGGAAUUAAGAUAGUGGAUAUUUGUAUUAAAUAUGUUUGUAAUUACUAUUGUUUUUACAAUUUUAUCCUUUAAGAAAUAGGGUUGGCUUAUGUUUUCAACAUUUUAUUUAUUGCUGAUUGAAGAAAAAGAUGUAUAAUAAAUAGGGGCAUGUAUGUAAAGAAAUAAUUAAUGUAGUUGGAAAUAGAAAAGGGGUCUUAUAAAAAGGGACAAAAUUUUUUUCUCAAAAGGGUCUUAUAAUUAGGGACGGAGGUAGUAUGUUUUUUUUUCUUCAUCCAAAAAAACCCUUUUUAAAGUGAAAUAUCAUAGAGUUAUUUAUUUUUUCGCAAAGGACUCACCAAAUAAUGUAUACAUCACCUCAAACCCUAGUCGUCACCCUUUUCUUCUUCUUUUCAGAGGGGUGAUUUAGGGUUAUUUUUGACACAAAAUCACCCCUCCGAAUUGUUUUUUCUUCUAUCAUAAUUAAAUAACUGAUUUCACAUAUUUUCAGUUUUCUUUCGUUUGAUUUGUGAUUACGUCGUCUCUGAACGACUCUGUUUGUUUUGAUUUCCCGUCUUUAUCCGGUGUGUUUUUGAUUUCCCAUCUUAGUGCGGUGUUUAUUUGAUUCAGGUUGAAAGAUUAGCUUUAAGCAAGUGCAGAUCCGAUCAAUGACAAUGACUUUGGCGUCGUCAACGUUGCAGAUUCGGAGACAUGAGUAUUCCGGAGACAUGAAUAUAGUCAUAUUAAUUAUAUUUGUAGGCAUAGGUACUUUGCCGUUUUAUGCUAUUAACAUGGAUGCUGUGAGUUUGUUCACAGAUUCAUCCUUUUUAUUUUUAGCAAAUUUGAAUUUGUAUUGUAUCGAUGUACUCUAUCAAUUUGAAAGAAUGCAUAUUGUUUAUUUUUGUCAAAAAAAUAAUAAUAAUGUAUACAUCACCUUAUACCGUAAGAAGCAUAAAAGACACUCAUUAACAAAAUAUUUGAAUAAGAAAGCAUAGCCUGAACUAUAUAAGCUUUGGAAAGUUAAUGAAAACAAAAUAUAGUUCUCCAAAUCUAAAAACCAAGCUGAUUAAAAUUGUUGAAAUUGAACAUUUGAGUUGACUCUAGUGUUUGUCACGAUCAAUUUGCAAGAGAAGGACCAAAUUUGACAUGUAAAUCAAAAUAUUUGAUAAAAGAAUUAGUGUGCAUGUUCAUCACCUGAUGUACAGAGAAAAAUACUAAAUAAAUUAUAUAUUCAUGGAUGGUCAACUGAGAGUUAGCUAAGUGUGCAUCACAUUAAAAACUUUUGUAAUAUAUUGUAACUUUUUAGGUUAUUGUCACUAAUUCUCAGUACUUUAGAAUAUGUGAAAUUGUAGAUAGAUUCUUCAUAUAUAUAGAAUCUUCAUACAUAAAAGGUUCACACUCCAUUUUAUACUCCUUAAAUAUGGUAUCGUUUUUAAUUUUUUUUGUAUAAUCAGUAGAAUCAUAUUAUUAAUUGACUGUAGAAAAACAAAACCAUAUAUGGUGGAACAGCAUGGAUGGUUUUGAACAUGUCCACUCACUAACAUUGAACGAUUUAGGAUGAUUUAAACAAGUAAAAGAUGGGAUUGAUUCUAGAAGUAGAGAGAAUGACGUAUUGUUAAGUGCCAAUGAGAAAUUGGUCAAAGGGGAGAUGAGCAAAAAAGCCAAUUGCAAGGUUGGUGGUGCACUCAAACAUAGAUCAGUCAUGCUUCUUAUAAUGACAACCAAGACAAACACACCACCCUCACAAAUCCUCACAAUUUUUUUGGAACAAAAGUAGUUUUUUUUUUUCAUAAUCCAAAUAUAUGGAAUUGAUAUAAUGAUAUAAUUCAUUUCAGUAAUUUUGAAAUUGAUAGUAAUUUCAAAUUUUUAGAAACAUCACUCCCUUCUUUUUCUCUUCUCCUCUUUUCAUCUUCUUCGUUCGUCGAUAAGGAGUGGUUUAGAAUUAAUUUUUUUUGGCAUAAAUCACUCAUCUAAUUAAUUUUUCUAUCUUUUUAUAUAAGUGAUUUUUCGUAUAUUUUUUUUUUUUGUGAUUUUGUCAAUUUAGUACGGCCUAUUAUUUUGUUUGCCAUCUUUGCUGCUAUGUUAGUUUGUUUUUUCGUUUUGUUCUGGUGUUUAUUCUAUUUAAUUGAUAUAUUAGAUUUGAUCUGAAAGCAUUGAUAUCUCAAACACUUUAAUUUUAUUGCAUUGAUAGGCUUUAUCAUAUUUGUAUUUAUAUUUUUCUCAUUUUCCUUAUGUUCUGAGAUAGAAUAUCAAUCAUGGCAAUUUGAAUUUUGAAAUGAUAGGAAUUGAUAUUCACUUUGGCAAUUUUGAAAACUACGGAAUUGAAUUUUGAAAUAAUUUAGAUCUAAAAGAGUUGAUAUUUUUUAACCUUUUUUUUUUUUUUUGUUUUUUUACCUAAAAAAAUAUUUUUUUUCUACAUCUUGUUCGUAUAAGGAUAUUAAUUUAUUUUAUAGACUAAUAAAAAGAUUAACAUCCUUCUUCUUCUUCAGCCUACAAACUAGUUCAUCACCACCACCGACAACCUCCAUAACACUGUUAAACGUUUAAAUCCAACAUCAACAAUAGCAAACAACACCAAGAACCAUUUCCUUCCAAUAAACAAACACAAACUAAAAAUUCUUAUUCAUCGUCAACUCAAACUCAUACCACAAUCUCCGUCAUCAUCAUCGCAAUACCAGAAAACAUUUUCCCUUCAAACUAACAAACCCAAACGAAGAAACUUGCAAACUCGCUUUUGUUGCCUAUAAUUGGAUUUGCACCAUAAGAAUUUUGUUUGUGAAUUUAGAUGGUUUUAUGCUUUUAUGUGGUCGAACGUGGCAUUUGAAGCACUUUCCAUUAACAAUGUUGAUAAACUUUUUUGAACAAACAAUGUUGAUAAACUUAAAGUUGGAUGCAAUAAGCUAUUAAGGUUCAUAGUGCAAAUCGUUUUCUUUUGUUGCUAAGUUUUUUUUUGUUUUUAAAUCUUUCUUUUAUUGGAUUUGGUCCCUUGCCAAUUUCAUUUUUUUUGGUUUUCGUCCCUCUCACUUAUUGACUAAUCAACUCAUUUGCCACGUGUCAUUUGCUUGCCACAUCAUCCAUUGUCACGCCAUCAUCUGAUUGCUCUCAUACAUGUUUUUGUAACAAAUGAUGACAGCAUGAAUGAAAAUCAAAACGUUUGCAUCUUACAUAAUUUGUAUAAAAAAAUGUUUUGAGCCUGAAUUAGAAGAAGCCCGAUCUCUUUUUUUACCAUAUCAUUAAAAAUUUAUAAAGACAAUAUUUUAAACUUUUCUAAUUACCUUUUACGCCAUCAAUCACUUUUAUAUUACCAUUUUUGUAUGUGUAUAGAAUUUUUUUAUACAAUUUCGUCAAAUUUAAUGGAAAAUAUAACAUAUAGCACAACUCUUUUAACAAAGGUUAUAAGUUCAAUCCAGCUAUGAAAUGUAGCAAUGUUAAAUAUUUUGAAGAGAAGCAUUGCGAUUCAUUGCUUUUCAUCAUCUCCCAUUUUGAUGAAUGAAUUGGUAGCAAUUCUCUUUUUAAUUCGUUCAUUCAUGGGUGGAGCUGGGCUUUGUUUCUUCCAUGCCUCCUAAUUGGCCUUUUAUGUAACUUUGCUUUUCGGAAAUUGUUUUUCUCCAUUUUGUUUUUGCUUAUUUUAUUUAUAUGUCUACGUGAGGGACGUUAUACCCCCACACCUCUACACUUAUAUCUUACCCAACAAUUUUUAAAAAUUCCAAUUUUACCCCUUUUACUAUAUAAUCUUUUACACAUAAAUUUUUCACCCUCAUUUUCAACAUCUCUUAAUUAAGGAUGAGUUCACCGCCACAUGAUAUUUUUCUUGAUACUUAUUUCCUUUUUUGUUUUUCACUAUCAAACGUUUCCGAAAAUAUUUCGGAAUAUUCAUAUAUACGUUUACAAAAAUAAUAUGAGAACUAGUCUCUCUUCAAAUGAAUGAUGCAACACAACUUAUCUUUCUCCUUUGAUGGAAAAAAUUGUUCUAAUACCAAUUAUUGAAAGAAAAAAUCAAUAAAAAAUCUUUAAACAAGCGGCAACACAACCACAAAAUAUGUAAAAGAGACAAAAACAAAUCACAAGACUGUUUAUCGACACUUCACACCUUCAUUCAUAAUAUCUUAACAAAAUAUUUGUUACAAAAAUAUGCAUACUUUUACUAGGAAUUGCAAACCCUCUUAUACAAUUAUAAUUUUUGCAUAGAUAUAUGCAAACUAAUCUUUCUCAAUUACAAUUUUUGUAAGAAAAACUACAAACUCUUUUAUGACACACAACUACCCAACCUCUUUUUUUUUUUUUCAUUACUCGAUGUGCGAUGUGAAAGAAUAUCAAUUUUAGAGAACAAAUGACUAUAAUUUAUAGGUGGCCUUUAUGAUUUUUCGCACAAAUUUUCAUACUGUGAAAUGUGAAUAGAUGCAUGUGCAGAGAUGGAGUUCAUAAUUUAAAUCUUACGUUAAAAAUAAAACAAGUUUUUAAUGUUAUAGUUUAAAAAUAAAAAAUUGUUUCUUAUAUACAAUAUUUUUAUGAAUAUUUACAUAGUUUUUAAAAAAAAUUAAUAAUGAAUGGUAUAUUCGUGUCCUGUAUGACACAAUGAAACAUAUGCACAUGAAUAAAUUAUACAUUAAGCCUAAUCAUAUGAUCUGAAAAGAUUUUCUCUACAUCUCGUCGAGCUAGCAAGGUAGAUAGAUGUCAACUAAUAUAUAUACAUUAAUUUUUAAUUUGAAUUUUUUUUAACAGCGUUGGAUUGACUUAUAUGUGAUAUUUUAUUUCAUAUUAGGGUAGAGUCUGCUCAUUGGAAACUGAAGCAAAUGUUGGAAAACAGCAAAGAUGACUUGUGCAAAUGUUGGAAGGGUAUGCACAACAUGAAGUUGCAAUUAGGAAAAAUCAUAGCUUCAUUUCAAAAAAGUUUUUAUGAAGUUGAACACGCACACACAAGUCUAUUUUAUGAAAAAUUGCGUGGAUUUGUUUCUAGAGCUGCUUUAACAUGCAUUGUUGUUGAGUUUGAAAGAGUUAGAUAUAUGGAAAUCGACGAAUCGACAUGUGGUUGCAAACUCAGAACAACAUAUGGAUUGCCUUGUGCUUGUGAGUUAGGAAGAUAUAAAAUUAGUGGUAUACCUAUACCAUUAGAUUCAAUUCAUAUUCAAUGGAAGAAAUUAAGCAUGGAAAAGUCAACAAGAGGAAGACACGGAAACUGGAUAAAACGAUUGAAACUAAUAAAACCUUAUUAUAUGACUAAUAGAAUAAAAACACCCCCUUUGAAUUACAAAGUGUGGCUAGAAGGGAACAAAUACAUUAUACAGUAUAAGCAAAGAGUGUGUUAAUUACUUACAUGACCAUACCACAGGGAGCUUUUCUAUACUUGACAUUAAAUUUAAGACAGUACACGUUUACUUAAGCUUAAUUUUACUAUAUUUAGUUAGCAAAAACAGCUUUUCAACUACAGUAGUUGUUUGAAUCCUUUAAAAAAAUACAAGUAAUUGUUUUAACUUUUAAUCACACAAAUAAACUACUCCAAAAUCCAAAUACAUAAACAAGCUUGGCUAAUGUGCUCUUGAUCUUUACAGACAAAGCAACAAUCACCCUUUAAAGUCUAAACAAUCCCAUUACUUAGAGAUACACAUAAGAAAGCACAAAGAAGCCAAAUCCGAUAUAAAAAAUAAAUGUGAUACAUACACAAGUCACAUAUAAAUAAUACUUCAUCAUCAGGGAACAAUAUAUCAGUCUUUUCCAUGUACAACGAUUCAUUAAGCAAUUAAAAUAGCAAUUGCUAAUAAGAGGCGCGGACAUGACCUCAAAAUAACAGAAUUAUCACAACAGACAACAAGUAAGGAUGGAAUAACACAAUUAAGUAAGUAAUGGACAUAGUAUGAAUAACUAAAUGAAUUCUACGAAAACAAUGUAACUAUAUUUCAUUUCCAUUAAUUGCAUAUAUAGAGGUAACCUUGAUCAGUAGUAUAUCUAUGCCCAUUAAUUAGUAUAUCUAUAAAAAAAAAUAGUAGAUCAUGACAAAAGCUACUUCAGAGAGUUAAACAAAAAAUUAAAAAAGUAAUUUUUUUUUGCGCCUGAACUGGAAUUCUUGGCCAAACGAUUCCGGGAAUAAUUAACCGAAAUACUUUGAACGCGUUUUCCGGAAACUACCGGAACACUUCACACAUGGUUUCCGGAAAUCAACCGGAACACUUUGGUUAACACGAUUCCUCGGACGAUUCCAUGAAAGGACGACGGCAAUAUUUCCAGAAAACGGUUUCGUGGAAGGAUUUAUAACACUAACCCAGAAAAUUUUGAAAAACCUAACCGUGAACGAUUCGUGAAUGAUUCCAGAAAAUAAUUCAGAACAAACACAUGGAAUUAGUGGAUGAGACAGAACACAGAAUCAGAAUAAAUGAUGCUUACUUGUUUGUUGGAAGAAGAAUCAGAAGAGGGUUUUCCAGAAAAGGGGAUUGAACGUUGAAGGAGAAGGGUUUAGAGUGUGUGGGGGUGAAAAGUGAAGGGUAAUUUUGGUAGUUUGUGUUAAAUGUUGGGGUAUAGGUAUAAAUGUAGGGGUGUAGGGUAUAACGUCCCUACGUUAACUCAUGUUGAAAAAAUCGAACGUGAGUUAACUCACGUUGGGCAUAAUUAAGGGAAUGAGCAAUUUAUUGCUUUUUUCAAAUAAAAAGUUGCUUAAAAACACAUGAAAAUGACACAAACCGCUGUAGUUAUCUAAGCUUAGGGUUUUUGGUCAUUUUCAUGUGUUUUUAAGCAACUUCUUAUGUGAUUUUUUUUUUUUUUUUAAUGUUUGUAACAGCUAAGUUUAUCAACUAUUAGUCAGCUUAUAGUUUCUUAUAAUAAUAUGAGAUUUCUUUUUGGGCGAGCGUGUUUAGUUUUUUUUUAAUAAAAAUAGAUAAAUAAAAUAACUUUAAUCAUUUAAUAGUGUUUGUUUAGGUUUUUAUUUUAAAUAUUAUUGUUUUACUCUAAAAUGAAAAGCUAUUAGAAUUAACUAUCUUUAAAAAUUUUUUUUUUUUUUCAAAAAUAUAGAGGUAACACAUGAACAAGUUUUUCUAAAAAAAAAAACAAUUAUUUUUAUAGAAGUAAACAAACAGAAAUAAUUUCAGAUUUUUUAAAGAAACCUCUAAAAAGAUCUCUAGAUUUUUAUAAUACAAAAUCUUUUUUCUUUUUAAGUUGAAACAAAACACCCUUAAUCUCUUUUAUUUGAUUUACCCUAGUUACAUCGCAUAAACCUUGAAUUUCACCAUUUCUAGAAAGAAAAAAAAAGGGUUAAAUAUGUUUUUGGUCUCUAUAAAUAUACCAACUUUUCGUUUUAGUCCCUCUAAAAUUUUCCUUCAACUUUUAGUCCCUAAAAAAUUUUCAAUUACUACUUUUGGUCCCUAUUUUUAAUUUAAUUUUUGUAUUUUUUAAUAAAAUUGUACAGAAAUGUGUAAAAUAUUCUAAAAAAAAUAAAGAAAUUAGAAUUUUUUAACAAAACACAAAUUAAAUAUGAAUUUUUAACUGUAAAAAAUAUAAAAAUUCAUAUUAAAUUCAUGAUUUGUUAAAAAAUUCUAAAUUUUUUUUGAAGUGAUUCUUAUAAUAUUUUGAAUUUUUAUGGAAAAUUUUAUUAAAAAAUAUGAAUUCUAGAUAUGAGUUUACUUUAAAAAGAGACCAAAAGUGAAAAUUGAAAAUUUUAUAGGAACUAAAAGUUGAAGGAAAAUUUUAGAGGGACUAAAUGAAAAGUUGACAUAUUUAUAGGGACUAAAAAUAUAUUUAACCCAAAAAAAAAAUACCCUUAAUUUGUUUUCAAAUUUUAACGUGACCACUGCAGCAACUAUAGACAAGGGAAAAUAUGGCGAUACACGCAGACUCCAUCGGUAAGAAACCUAGGUGUUUCUAGAAAGUUUAGUGGAAUAAUGAUAGUCAUAGUUGAGUCUCAUUGUUUACAAAUGCCAUUUGUAAAUUUUAUUUUGAAGGUGAGAAAAACACAAGAAGGGGGUUGAAGUGUGUUAACUUUUUCUUUUCUUUCUCUAUCUGAAACAAGCAGGUCAGAAGCAGGUAGAAUUCUACUUCUGAAGAGAUGUUCAGAACUAAAUGCAGCGGAUACGAAUAGAGAGAAAGAGAGAAAAAAGACACAGACAAUUUAUACAGGUUCCUUCCACAAACUGGAAGUCAGUCAUGUCCCCCUUGCACUUCCAAGGGGAGUUCACUAUGUAAUAUCUGAUUACAAAUGCUCACUACUAAACUUAGUAUGAGACUUCAAAUUGCUCAAGCACAACUGCAAGAGACUUCCUAUGCUCCUGAACACAAUCAAGAGACUUCUAUUGCUCAAGCACAACUGCAAGAGACUUCUAAAUUCAAACAGAAUUACAAUGAAAAAUGUUUGAGGUUGAACACUUGAUAUACAAUCAAUGGUGUUCACAAUACAAAUCACAGACUCUAGAAUUCCUAAGAUAUAAGCUUUGUUAUGAAAUUCUAAGUGAACUUUGAAGUGAAGAGCAAUUUCAACAGAGUUUUAGCUUAACUGAUGCGUAGUAUUGUUCUUUAGUAACUCUGAGUCUUCACUCCUUUAUAUAGAGUUGUGAAAGAGACGUUGAAAUGUCUUCUUAUUCAAAAUAGAGUCGUUUGAAGCUCUUGAUCUAUCACCAAUGAUCUUUUGCCUGAUAUGGUUAUUGUCCUAUGAAGGAUCAAUUUCAAAUGUGUUCCCAAUGUGAAUAAACAUUGUUGCAGGCAGAGCUGUUAUCCUUGUCUUGUAGCAGAGACAAACUCAUAAUAGUGGAGGUAGUGGUUGUACACUUCGUACAAACGUACUAUGUCAACGCUCUUUGAAGAAAAAGCAUCCAAUGCAUUUCAAAAUAGUCGUGCCACAAUUUUCCAGUCUUCUGCAAUCUUUAGGCGAGUUAGAGUCCUUGAAACAGCUUUUGAAAAUUUAAGUUCAAUCUUCUGAUGAACUGCAGCUUCUGGUGAUACACAGCUUCUGAUGAACUUGCUUCUGAUGACGUCAUCACUUCAGAAGCACUUUGUCUUUAGGCGCACUUCAAACUUCAGGAGCAGUUUUCUUCAGACGCUCGAAGCUUCUCUUUUUGUUGAUAUACUUGCUCUUUAUUUGUUCUUUGAAGACCAAUUUAAUAUGACAAUUUUUUUUCUAUAGUCCUGUACACUUGAACAAAUAUUAGCGUAUCCAAUUGACAAUUUUUAAUACUUUAUUAUCAUCAAAACUCUCAAGGGUUAUUAUUGCUAAACAAAUUUUAUUCCAACACAUUUUACAUACAUAAUCAAUCAAACAAUAUGUUACUCGCAUUUCUUUUUACUUUAUAUUUAGUUAUGUUUUUAUUAGCUUAGUUCUCAAAAAUCACAACGGAAGAACGUAGUUUCUUUCUACUUUAUACUUACACUCUUUAAAGAAUGGAAGAACAUCGUUUCUUUCUUGGCAUAAUCGUUUGGAGGAAAAGAGAAUCAUUGUUGAGAUCUAUUAGCCAGUUCAUCAGCUAAUUUGGCAACAAUUUGUAAUAAUAAAAUUGUUGUAUUAAUAAAAACAAAGCAAGGUGAGGACUAAAAAUUACCAAAUAACUGUGUGAAUAUUGGUAAUAAGAUAGGAAAUAAGAGAAGGAGUGAUAAAGAAAGGGGUAAGGGCUACAAGGGUCAGUGGCCCCAAACCAUCAUCUACGAAGGACACAGUAGCCUGUGCAAUAGCAGCAUGUACAAUAGUGACAUAUUUUACCCUCCAAUUCAUCACUCUUUGCUAGCAAGAAAACUUUUAAAUUUUACCACACAUAAUUAAUUUUCCAAUACAAAUUAAAUGAAAGAAAACACACAUAGAAAGAGAUAUUGUUAUAUAUGCAUACGGGUGGACAAGCAUGCAUGUAAAGUAGCAAAAUAAAUUAUUUAAAUAUUCAUAUGACACAAAAUGAUUGAGGAAUAUAACAAGAGAGGGUAGCUAAAUUUUACACACAAGAAAACAAUAGCCAGAAGAUAAAUAGCUAGGUAUAUUGUUUUCUUCUCCUCGUCUCUUCAUUACUCUUGUCUCCUUAGAUCCUUUCCUCUUGCAACCUUUUUGCUCUCAAUCUGUGAGUUUUUUUUUCUACUUUUUCUUCUGACAUGAAAAAAACAACCACAAAAAAAUCAAAUAUAUAUAUAUUUCAGCUCUUUCUAGCUUCUUUAAAUUAUUUUGUUAUAUAGUUUCUUUAAUUUAACUGAUCUCUUUUUUGUUAUCCUUGUUCCAUGAGAGAAGGAAACAUGUUAAUGAAAUUUUUCUUUUAGAAGAAGAAUUAAACAUUUGAUUAUUAAGUUUUUGUUUAAAAAUUUCAGAUUGCAAAAUAUAUAAUUAUGGCGGCUGCUUCUUCAUCUACAUCAUUCUUUGGAAUCAGAGAAGAAAAUCAAAGUCAAAUAACACAUCAUCAUCCUCAUCCUCAAUCAACUACUACUUCUGCUACUUCCUCAGCUCCUUCAACCACAGUUCCUCAAAAGAAAAGAAGGAAUCAACCUGGAACACCAAGCAAGUAGCUUAAUUAUUUUUAUUUUCAUUAUUACUUAAAGCUUCAACAUGCACACACCCUUCUCGAAUUUUUUUUUUUUUUUUUUUUUGUAUUAUUUUCUCAAAAAACAAGCAUAAUGAAACCCUAAAUCAUGAACAUGAGUUAGGGCUCUGAAUUUCUUUUACAAAAAAGCUAUAUAAGAACUAUGUUUAGGGUGCAUGCAGUCUCCUCCAAUUUUAUUCUCAAAAGCAUAUGAGACUUCGGUUUUAAUUUUUGUAAUAAUUUUUCUAACUUCUACUGUUUUUUACUACUAUUACCAUGAGUUUGUGGCUUUUAAAUGGAAAAAAUAACAAUAAAACAUAGUUCUUCAUUUCAUGGUGCAUAUAUAUUCAAUUAUGAAUACUUCUUUUGAUGUUAAAAAAACUAGAAUUUUAUAAUAUUUUUCUUAUACAAAAAAAUAUAUAAUAUUUUGUUGUUUUGGCAUUUUUCAUGGUAAAAAGAUCCAGAUGCAGAAGUGAUAGCACUAUCUCCCAAGACUCUAAUGGCAACAAAUAGAUUUAUAUGUGAGGUUUGCAAUAAAGGGUUUCAAAGGGAGCAAAAUCUUCAACUUCAUAGAAGAGGACACAAUCUUCCUUGGAAGCUAAAGCAAAAGUCCAACAAAGAGCCAAGGAGAAAGGUUUAUUUGUGUCCUGAGCCCACAUGCGUCCAUCACGACCCUUCAAGAGCUUUAGGAGAUCUAACUGGAAUUAAAAAGCAUUUCUCUCGUAAGCACGGUGAGAAGAAGUGGAAAUGUGAAAAAUGCUCAAAGAAAUAUGCUGUUCAAUCUGACUGGAAAGCACAUUCUAAGACUUGUGGUACUAGAGAAUAUAGAUGUGAUUGUGGCACCCUCUUCUCUAGGUAACAAACAUCAUCUUUAUAUUUAUAUCUUCACAUCGAUGUUAGUCUAAUUAUAUUUCAUAAAUAUGAAUUCAUCACUCUAUAUACAUAAUAUAUGCUACACUUUUGCCAAAUGUUAGGGUUAUACUUAUAUGGUUUGGUAUUGAAUAUUAUUUUAUUUUAUAGAAGUUAGUGUUUGAUUAUUUUUUUACUACCAAUUUUAUUAUAAGAAUUCGAUUAUUUUAAUCAUGUUUUUUUUCAUCAUUCAAUUGCAAGGAAAAUGGUCAUAAGUCAUAACAAUCUGAAGUUUUGCAAGAAAGCAAGUAAAAUCCAACCAAACCGUAGAUCAAACUCAUAGACUCCUUAUAUAUCGUUCUCUUUCUUUCCUCUUCGUAUUGAGCUCUAAUUUAUCUAAAUUGAAGUACUCUUUAAACUUCUUUACUAAGGAACCUUUUACAUAUAAAAAGGUGUGUGUAUAUAUAUAAAUAUAAUAAGUUGAAUUUUUUUACAAUAAGUAAAAACACACAAAGGUUAAAUUUGAACAACAGUCUCUUUUAUGUUCUUAUCCCAAAAAAAAGUGAACAAGAGCUUUCACCCUUUCUCUGUUAGUUUGUGUUUGGGUGUUAGUGAAGGUGUAUAUUGUAUGGCGCAGGAGACUGCAUGCACGUGAGUACACUGUUCAAAUGUAGUACAAAAAUUGAAAUGUUUGAAGGAAAAAAAAUCAACUUUGGUUUUAGGGAACCGUGCCCAUAAUCUUUUAACGUUCACGUGUAGUGAAACAACAUAAUAACUUUGUUCUCAUAUGAAAUGGAUUGGAGGAGAUGCUGGGUUUUGUUCUCUUUCUUGUUAGCUAUUUCUAGUUUUCAAAAUUCAAAUACAUUUCCAUGUUCUUUUUAGCAAUGGGUCCAAGGUGACUAAUUUCCAUGUUACUAACAGAAAAUUCUCUUCAUUAAUUGGUCAUGUUUCUCAUAUAGAUUUGCUAGAAAUUAUGUGAUAUAACGAAUUAUCUUGGUAGAAUAUAGACAAGUAUUGAGGUUGCUUGCAUUUAUUAAGUAGGCCCCAUAUUGAAAUUUUUGAGUAUUGACUUUCAUCAUAGUUGCAAACAAUUCUCUCUUUUAUUGAUCAAAGAAAGACCUCAAAUUAGAAGUUUGAUUUAGAAAUUCUUGGUUUGUUUCAAAUUUUGGCAUAAUCCCAUGGGCCCUCUACUUCAAUUGUAGUUUUCUUAAUUUCAACAUACUAUACUAGUUUCAAUUAAUUCCAAUUAAAACAAUUAGGUUACUCAUAUUCAUUACACAAAUAUAUGGGAUUAUAAUAUGAACUUCCAAAGGCGAACAUAACUAUUUUUGGUAAAUUUUAAUACAAUAUUAGAUAUGUUCUCCUUUUUACUAUAUAUGGUAGGGGUCUACAUUAUACCCACCCAAAAAAAUUGACAAUGAUAUAUAUAUGUUGCUUAAUUCUUUGUAAUUAAUUUUGGUGCAGGCGUGACAGUUUCAUCACUCAUAGGGCAUUUUGUGAUGCACUAGCACAAGAGAGUGUAUUAAGACACCAUAACCCUUUUGGGAGUACUCAUCAAUUGUAUGCCACAAACCAUCACAUUAGUUUAGGCCAAAUAUCCCAUCAAUUGCAAAAUCAUCAGAACCAAAUUACAUCAUCCACUAGCAACAAUAACAACCUUUUGCGCCUUGGAUCAGCACCACCAAAAUUUGAACAAAACUUAAUCUCAUCACCACCUUUAAAUCACUCUUCAUCAUUUGGACACUCAAUCCCAUCUUCAUCACCAUUCUUCAAUAUGAGUGAUAUUUCAAAUCAAUCCUUUGAAGAACAACAAUCUCAACAAGGACAAUUCUUAAACAAACAACUACAUGGUCUAAUGCAUCUUCCUGAUCUUCAAGGCAAUACAAAUACAAACAAUUCAAAUUCUUCCAAUCUUUUCAACCUUAUGGUUCAUGAUCAAUUCAACAACAUGAGUAGUACCCAAGGAACAACACUUUACAUUAACAACAAUAGCUCUUUAAGUGAUCAUCAAGUUGGUUUUGUCAAUUCAAUGCAACAUGGUCAAAACAUGUCUAGUCCUCACAUGUCUGCCACUGCAUUGCUUCAAAAAGCUUCUCAGAUUGGUUCAACUAAUUCUACCAACAAUAACAAAGGUAGUAAUAAUGAUCAUAAAUCAGGUGAUAGGGACUUUGUUGUGUCUGAUCACAACAACAUCAAUGCCACUUUUGGAAAUAGAAGUUCAAGUAUUGAAAAUGAUCAUGACAACAACGAUCUUCAUGGAUUGAUAAACUCUAUUGCAAAUGGAAACACAUCAUCCAUAUUUGGCAAUGAAAGCAAUCUUAAUAUGAGAUUUGGUGGAUCUGAUAAGUUAACUUUAGAUUUUCUUGGUGUUGGAGGAAUGGUCAGAAAUAUGAGUGGUGGAUUUUCACAAAGUGAACAACAACGUGACAUGAUGAAUACUAGUAUGGUUUCUUUGAAUCAUGACCUAAAAUCAGCACAUUCAAGUCAACAUUUUGGAAGCUCAAAUAUCUUGCAAUGAAGAUUGGGGUGAGAAAUUUAUUAAUUUAAGGAAAUAUUGCUUGUUAGUUACAUGUGAAUUAUUCAUUAAUUAAGUAGUAAACUUUGUUUCAAACAUUUAUUUAUUUUAUUUUUGUUUUCCUCAAAAGAAGUGCAGUUCAUUGGUAAAAUGAGGUUCCAAUUCUAGAAAUUACUACAAAUUACAAUCCCUUAUUUUAUUUUAACACGUCCCUUUCCUUAUUCUUUGCUCUCUAUGAUGUGAUAGAGAGAUGUAAUAAAUUCACUUUUGAAUUUCAUGUGUGAGCGAACAUGAGAUAAUAAAGUUUAUAGAAAAAAAAAAUUGAUUCAUUAUAGAUUUUCCUCUAAGAAAAUUAUUUCUCAAUCACAGAGGGUAAAAUUCCAUGCUCGAACCAAGAAAAAAUAUUCAACCUAACAAUUUCAGCAUUGUUAGUUGUGCUAGGUUUUACGGACCAGGACAUCAUCGUUGUCUACCAAUUUUUUUUUACAGAUUUGAGGCGAUUUAAUUUGGUUGAUAAACACGAGUAAAUUACUCAAAUGCCCCUUGGCAGUUAACUGCCGAAAUUUUAAAAAAUCGGCUGCAGUUAACUGUCGAGAAAUUUCAAACCUGAAAUUAAAUAAGGAAAUACACCUAUGUUUUCCUUAAUUAAAUUUAAAUCUUUAAUCCUUUUAAGGAAUUAAACAUAAUUAUUUUUAUGAUUUCAUUCAUAUGAUUUUGUUGCUAUAAAUGAAGAAAUAUGAGAGAUGAAUAAUAUCUGUAAUCGGUAGUUAAUAGACCUAAAAUGAUGAUUCAAUAAAAAAAAUGCAACAACAAAAACGUUACAAAUGAUAGAAUAAUUAUAUUUGUAAUUAUUAGUAAUUAAUUUCAUUGAUGUUGUUAUUAUUCAUAAGUUUGACUAACCUAUUAUUACUUUAUACUAAUAUUUUAGAUAUUAUUACUUUAAUUAACAUGAAAAACGCAACAACAAAAAAUAAGGGGGAUUUAUUGGAUUAAGAUUCUAUGGGAUUUUAAAAGAUUUUUUAAUUAUGAAAAAGUCUUGUGGUAUUCAAUCAAAACUUUUUGCAGCCGGUUCUUUAAAAUUUCAACAGUUAACUGUCGAAGGAUAUUUGAGUAAAUUACUCGUAUUUCUCAGUCAAACCAAAAGUGUGAACAGCAAUACUCAAUUUCAAAAACAUGUAUAUGCCACGGUAAAUAAAGCCAGUUGUUGACUUGUUGAUAGUUGUGUUGUUAUUACUUGUGUACAAAUGCUUACCAAACGAGGGUGGGAUGUUGGCACUCUGUUAUGUUAAGAAUCUUCACGUUUUGGCUAUAUUCCAAUGGAAGCGACAGAGCCUCAUUUCCGUUCAAUUUCAUCUUUGUUUUUUUAUAUACGACGUACAAAUACUAACUAACUAAAGGUACAUUAACUUUAAAAUAAAGCAAGAAAUUUUGUAGUAUUGCUUACCUAAUAUAUAUAUACCUUACUUUUAAAAAUACAUAUUAAAAUAUAUGUAAUAAAAAAUUAUAUUAAAUGCUAUAUAAAUGUUAAAUGUUAGAGUCUCACAUUGAAUAUGAGAAUAGUAUAACAAUAUGUUUACAAGUUAUUUAUAAUAGGUUCUUAAUAAUAAUACUAAAUAAAUAUCAAAACUUAUUUAUAUAGAAGUUAUUUUAGUAUUAUUAAGAGCCUAUACUUUUUUUUUGAGCAAAAGAGCCUAUACUUAAUUGAUAAGAAAUUGUUACCAAUAUACCAACUCCAUUAAGUACCAUAAAUUUGAGAAAGAGACCUUGCAUAUUUUUCAGGUGAUUUUGUUGACAUCUUUUUCUCUUAACACUAGGAAGGACCCUUUAGUUUUUCAUUGUAAUAUAAAUAUUCUUGUACAAGUUGACUACCUUUGAAUUUGCAUGUCGUCGUUGAUGGCUAUAUAUAGGGUUAGAUCUAACGUCAUUGUUCAUUUGGUGGAAGAUUUUUAUGAGGAGUGUGUGGUACAUAACAUAUGCAACAUAAAUAACAUAUUAGCAGUAGUCUCUGCAAUGUUCGUUAUUGUAAUUACUGGUAAAAUAGCUGCGACACUUUUGUCGCAUGUAAAUUCCUUCUUCACAUGGAAAUCACCCGUCCGUGAGUGAGUGAAUGAAUGAGUGACUAUUAACCAACCAACCCAGUCAUUUCAUUUCGCCUUCACUCUCUACCCGUUACAGUUUUUCUAACUUUCUUUCUUUAGAUUGAGUAACUUCAAUAAUGCAAUGCAACUAAAGAUUAUUACUUACAACUUCUAUGCUCAAAUAAUUGUUGCAAUGCAAUUAAACACUCACUCAUGCGUGUCCCCGUGAGCCUAAUCCAGUUUGUAGAGACAUUGCAUUAUAUAUAUAGAGGUUGGGGUUCAAACUCAAACACUCUACUUAUUCACCUUAAAAAAAAUGAAUUUAAGUCAAUUGGCUACCUGACUAAAAAAAAACGCACUCAUAUGUUUUAUUUCAUAAGCUGGUUUUAGACCUUUUUAUCUGAAAAACUUAUCUCACAUUGUAGUUGAUAUGUAUGGUUAGACCUUUUGUGAGGUUUGUGUGUCCCCUAGUCUAUCACUCUCUCACAGUUAAACUACUUUGUUUUUGAGAGGUUUGUAUACCUUACUUAAAAACAACUAUCAUUCUCUCAUCAAUUUCAUCAUUAAGCUAUUAAAAUUAACUAAAAAGUACCUAAACUAUUCUCACAUAUAACUAUUAGCCCCUUGGUUGACAAAGUUAAUUUUUUUUAUGAUGGUUUAUGGACUAAAUUGAUAUAUUUUUUAUAGUUUAAAGAUCUUCUAGUUGAUUUUAAUAACUCGAAGGCUAUAUAUGUGAAAAAAUUGAUAGUUUAAGGAACAAGUUGAUUGUUUAUUCUUAAUUUGAUUGAAGUCUACUGGCACACAAAUUUACAAGGAUACGGUGGAUAUGGGGAAGUUAUACCUGAUAUCCCUACAUUUAAUCUUUUACCCCCUACAAAUUGUUGAAAAUGCCAAAUUUACCUUUUAUCAUUUCACUUCACCCUGCAUAAAAUUUUAGCCAACAAUACACUUCCGAGAUUUAAUACUCCAAUUUUCGGAAUAUUCAUAUCAAAUUUUUAUGGUAGAUUAAUUUGUAAACCGGAACAAUUGAGUAAAGAAUUAUUAUCAGAAUUCUUUCUUCUUUCAUCGAGGUUUGAGAGACAAUGAAAGAUGGAAAAUAGAAUACAACAACCUGUAUUAGUUAAUAUAAAAUUAAGUGCAAAGCAAAGAUCAUGAUACCAAACCUCAUCAAUUCUUCUUCCAAUUCAUUUUAUUUAGAUCUAAAAAAAUGAAAGGCCGUAUAUUUCUGGAGUAGAAUUUUAGAUGUAAGGUUGGGAAAUCAAAAAACCUGGCUAAAACUGCAGAAACCUGUUUUCUGAAUUCUUUCUAAAAAAACAGUGUAAAAAAAUGCUUGUCUCUUUAUCUGUAGAUCUAAAAAAAAAUCAUUUCUAAUUCAUCUUGUUUGGAAAUAUGAAUACGAAAAGUUGUAUAUUUUAAUUUUUUUUAUUUUUACAAAAUACCGUUGUUGGGAAUGUGAAUAAUCUAAGAUUAAAUGUAGGGGUGGUAAAAGAUUAAAUGUAGGGGUAUAUGGUAUAAUAUCCUGGAUAUGGUAGGCUUAUAUUACUUAGAACCCAAAUCAUGUUACUUAGGCCCGUCAUCAUGGACUUUUUUCAUGUGGUUUCCAUGCAGGCUAGUUGAAUAUUGCUCUUUAGGCAUCCAUGUUUUGCUCUCAGACAUUUUGAAAUUAUUAUUUUACCUCAAUGAAAAUUAAUUACCAUUUGUUGAUGAACGAUGGUUAGUUUUCAUUCUCUUAUGAACAGUAGUUAAUUGUCGUUCUAGGGCAUUUUAUGUGGUUCAGAUUGCGCAGACAGUUUUUGUGGUCCACGAUACAUAAAAACUUCUAUAAAUUGGUGUGUUUGGUUCAUUUGAAACCACACCACAAAAUCAUGAAUAUUUAUCUAGUAGAUCCGAACACCAAAUUAGCGCAGUUAACUACAACGGGGAAAACUCAAUAUGUUUAGGGUUCAGGUUAAUGCUAUAUCGGUUGACUUGAAGGAACAUAGUUGGACCAAAUUAACAGUCGACUCAACCACAAAGACACAAGAAAGGUGGAAAGUGUUGAGUAUCGUCAUCCAUUCGUUUGACUCAUAUGAAAGCGUCAAGUUCACCCAUAUGAAGUUCAAGAACAACGACAUCGUGAGAACCAUCAAGUUAGACGCUUCAUUGGUCAAAUAUUUUUUAGAUGUUCCGGAAAGUUUGAUUCAGAUUAGGACCUUCAAAGAAAACAGGACUUGCAUGGAUAGACCAAAAGAAAUAAGUAUGUCUUAUUCGUGAUUUUGUAUGUGUUUUAUUAUGUUGUUAAAUUAUGUUAGUGUAUUGUGUUUUAUUAUGUUUAAUGUAUGUUUUUGUUAACUUAUGUCAUUGAAAUUAUGUUAAUGUAUUGUAUUUUAUUAUGUUUAAUGUAUGUUCUUCUGAGCUUUCCUUUGUAACUAAUGAUUAACUACAGUUUCUUCUGAAAACAACAAUUAACUAUUGUUCCUAGAAUGGGAGUUAACUCUUGUUUAACAACGAAAAAUAAUUAAUUAUUAUUUCGGAUAAAAUAGUCAAUUUGAGACGUGUUAAAACAAAGUAUGAGUGUCUAACGAACAAUUUUCAAGAUAGUUUAGUCCUUUUUGGGUUCUACCUUUUUUUUUUAUGAGUAACUUCUACACCUAGUUUCCAUUCUUUUUUGUGUUAAUUGUCCGAUUUCUUAGCAUGUGCGUAACUCACGCAGCGUGACUUAAGUCACACAUGUGUAAAAACUAAGUCAUGUAUUUUUUACACUUGCGCUAAUUAACUAACGCAAGGGUAUUUUCGGCAACACUGCAGGGCGCGAGUGUUUUGUGUUGGGUGAAGAGCAGAAUUCUAAAGUCAUAUAUAUAUAUUAUGGUUUUAAAAGGGUAAUUGCUAAAUCAGAUUCAUAGGAAGCAACUAAGUUAAUAUUGAAAGGGCAUGGUAAAGGGCACCCUUGUUCUCAUAUCAUUUCUCAUAUUUCUAAUUUUCUUGUCUAAUUCAUGAGUUACAAGUUUCAACGUGUCUAACGUGAAGCCAACAAAGUCGUGAAUGCUUUUGCAAGGAAUAUCCAACUUCAAAGUAUUAGCGCAGCUUUAACUUGAUGAACAAACUUAGAGUUUUCUAGGGUUUUAAUUUGAUUUUGUUGAAAUAGAGAGAGAAUGAGAAGAAUGGGUGAAUGAGGAGACAAGAAGUAUUAAAGUUGUGAUUUCAUUUAUAUGUAAAAAUACACAUGAAAGUAGCUUAUAUACAUGGUUUUUUGCUAGGUUACUUGAAGUACAAGUCAUAUAACAAACCCUAAAUACCUUAAGCUAAAAUCUAGUAAAUUUGUAACAAACUAUUAACAAACUAAACUAACUAGAUUUCUAAUGUGAUUAACCAAACAAGCUUGAUUAGAUCACUAACAAACUUGAAUUAUCAACUAACACAAAGUUGCGAUAAUAUAAAAAUAAUAUCAGAACUAGUCUCUCUUCAAAUGAAUGAUGCAUCACAACUUAUCUUUCUCCUUUGAUGGAAAAAUUUGUUCUAAUACCAAUUAUUGAAGGAAAAAAAUCAAUAAAAAAUCUUUAAACAAGCGGGAACACAACCACAAAAUAAGUAAAAGAGAUAAAAACAAAUCACAAGCCUAUUUUUCGAUACUUCACAGUUCACACCUUCAUUCAUAAUAUCUUAACAAAAUAUUUGUUACAAAAAUAUGCAUAGUUUUACUAGGAAUUGCAAACCCUCUUGUACAAUUAUAAUUUUUGCACAGAAAUAUUGCAAACUAAUCUUUCUCAAUUACAAUUUUUGUAAGAAAAACUACAAACUCUUUCAUGACACACAACUACCCAACCUCUUUUUUUUUUUUUUUUUUUUUCAUUACUCGAUGUGCGAUGUGAAAGAAUAUCAAUUUUAGAGAACAAAUGGCUAUAAUUUAUAGGUGGCCUUUAUGAUUUUUGGCACAAAUUUUCAUACUGUGAAAUGUGAAUAGAUGCAUGUGCAGAGAUGGAGUUCAUAAUUUAAAUCUUACGUUAAAAAUAAAACAAGUUUUUAAUGUUAUAGUUUAAAAAUAAAAAAUUGUUUCUUAUAUACAAUAUUUUUAUGAAUAUUUACAUAGUUCUUAAAAAAAUUAAUAAUGAAUGGUAUAUUCGUGUCCUGUAUGACACAAUGAAACAUAUGCACAUGAUUAAAUUAUACAUUAAGCCUAAUCAUAUGAUCUGAAAAGAUUUUCUCUACAUUUCGUCGAGCUAGCAAGGUAGAUAGAUGUCAACUAAUAAGUUGAUGAAAUCGGCUAAAAAAGAUUCCCAGUUGAAGUUUAUUAUUUUUUUGGUGCAACCCAGUUGAAGAUUUUAUUAACUUUGAUGAUGGCUCUGAACUACCAAGUUUUCUAGAACUUGAACAAGUCCUUAAUUUUAGUUGAAUUGCAAUACUAUGUCUAUAUGUAUAGUAUACCGUUUCUGGUUUCAUAGUCUGUUAAUUUUAAGGAAUUUUUUCAAGUGGCUCAAAAAAAACAUAUACAGUACAUUCUUUAGUUUUAUUUACAUCGUUUUCAAUCUCUUUCGCUUUUUUAAAUAUUUACGCAGAAAACAUUUUUUUUUUUUUUUCAAUCAGAAAGAGGCAAAAUUAAGAUUUGCAUUGGUUUUAGUCAUCACCUACUACAUUAAAUUACUAUUUGUGGAAAAUAUUGUUUAUAGCGUGAAACUGUGCUCUGACUGGCUCACAUGCAAACGGACAGUGGCAAUAUUGUUUAAGGAAGUAUUAAUCUUUUUUUUUUUUUUUUUUUUGACAGAAACCAUAUAGUAUUAAUCUAUUAUUACUACUAUAUAUGCAUAAAAAAGGACCAAUUAACCGACAUGCUUUGAGUUAUUUUGUGUUUUUUUUUUUUAUUGUUUCUGAAAAAAUCAACCAACAUGCUUCUUUUUUUGCGCUAACUAAAACUAAUUUAUUUAUGCUACUAAUCAAUUUAUUAAGACUAAAACUUGAGUACAAGUUAGUCUUUUUUUUUGUAGUUGGUGACCUACAAGUGGUACUCUUGUACUCAUUAUACUCAAAGUCAAGGGUACAUGCGUAUGUGUUAUGCUGAAUUCGAAAAUUCAUAGUCAAGACCCAGCAAUAUCAAGAUAUAUACACACAUGUCCUAAAGUGCAUUCUGGAGAAUAAGAACUACAAGUCUAAAGUUUUUCUUUUUGUUAGUAAAGUUAUUUUAGUCCAAGUUUAGACUAUACAACGCUGACUAUGAAAUAUGAAAGGAAAAAAAAACCUUCAAUUUUUGUCAAAAAAAUAAAUUCCAUUGUCUCUAACUAAUUAUUGAAAUUUUAAACAUGUGUUUGGUCUAACGGUAUGGUAGAAAAAAUCACGGCAAAAAUUCACGGUAACUACAAAAUCUAAAAAUUUGUAAUUUCUUUGAAAUUUGAGUUUGUAACUUCGAACGUCAAAUAAUCGUUCAUUAAGUCUCUAAAGCUCACAUGAUCAGACCAGCUUUGAUUGCAAAAUAUGACCAACUAAUUACUAAUAAACAUUUAAUUUUGUUAGCAGAUCAAUUUAUCUGUUUAAUGUUAAAAUAAAUCUGAUCCAAUUCAAUACUUUUGGACAUAGAUUGAAAUGGUUUCCCCCCCCCCCCCCCCCCCUUUUUUUUUUUUUUUUUUGUAAACUAGGUAUCCUCCGCGCGCAACUGCGGAGACUAAUCCCUCGAGCAUUGUGAGACCCAAAUGGACGGCAGACUCUCCCUAAGAGUUUUAACGCUGCUGGAGGUAUUGUAAAUAAUAUUUUGUGUUAUAUUAUUUUUAAGAGUGUAUAUUUCUAUAUAAAAAGAGUGAGUUUUGCCUUCAACCUCGAGGUAAUCGGUUUGAGACCUAGGCACUGAGAACAUGAGUUUUUUCGAUUAGCUCUUUAAAAAAUUAUUUAUAGGAGGAAUAAUUGUUUUUAUGGAAUUUGUCGUGUAAUAAAAAUCUAAAUCGUCUAGUCUACAAUUUUGUAUAGUCUUCAAUUAUGUUGUGAAUUCGGGCUUUGAAACUUCACACCAAUCCAAACUAUGAUGUGUGGAGAAAGUAUCAAUGGCAACCAACAACCAAAUUAACCAUAAGCAAUAACAAUAAUAUAUACCAAGUCUAUAAACCAAGUGCAUAGCAAAAUCACAAUCCAACCAAAUAAUAAACAAGAUAAAAGAGUAAAGAAAAAUAGACAACAACACCAAGAGAUUGUUCACCCAGUUCGGUCCAACCAUGACCUACUCUGGAGGAGAGAUUGAUCUCUUCAAUCCACUAUCAAUGAGUUCUUACAAAGAGAUACAAAUGAGUUACAAGAAAUUAGCUUCAACAAGCUCACAAAAAACAACCCUAAUUUCUACCAAUUUUCCCAAUCUCACCAAUGAACAAGACACUCAUGAUUUUUACUCUCCCAAGGUGUUUACAAUUGUUUCACAACUCUAGAAUCUAACCCCCAAAAGAGAACCAACUCUUAGCCUUUGAUUUCACUUAGGAUCUUCUCUUUUGGUUUCACAAGACUCACCCAAGUUGCUCGCAAAUGACUCUCCACUCAUGUGUUUCCCAACCCCAUGAAUCUUCUCCAAAAGGCACCAACCCUUUUCACAAGAGCCCCCUCUUUUGGUUCUCCAAGAUUCACAUCUUGAAGCUUUGAACCUCACCCAAAGACCCUCAACCUUUAGUAUCUAAAACCCUAAAAGUUUCAUCCUUUGGUUGUUAUGGGAUUCACCAAGCUUACCCAACAAAUGGAUCAGGGAGUGUUUAAAACAUGUUUCAGAUCUGUCAAAAUCGUGUCACAUUUUGCCUUCAGAACCAAACAUGCAUUCGGCAUCAGAAAUCGUGACACGGUUGCCAAAUCGUGUCAUGAUUCUUCACUUUCAUAAAGACUUAAUUUUGAGUCAUAUAUAUACCAACAAAUUCAAAUUAUAUAAAUGGACGGUAUAUUCUUUAGUAAAAGUAUUAUUUCACAAUUUAAUACGUAUUAUUAAAAGAAAUUAGAAACAAUUAUCAAAAAAUUAUGAUAGAUAAUAUAUUAAACUCGUCUAGUGUGUGUGUAUUUUUGAAGGAUAGUGUGUGUGUGUAUUAACAUCAUUCUCUAAUUAUUUUUGUAGGGAAACAAUGUUGGUUAAAUUGAUGUGUACUUUUUUUUGUAAAAAAUAAUCGACGUAUUUUUAAAUGAGAUUUACAUGUAGAGAGAGACAGCGGUAGACAUAGUAGUAGAACAAUUAAAAUUUAAAAGACCACUUUACAAAUUGCACCAAGUGGUCCUCUAAAAAAGAUCACCGACAGUUGCUUCACUUUACCUUCAUAUAUUUUAGAGCAAUGAUAUUUGAACAAUUAUUUAGUACAACAUUUUUUGACAAUCUUCUUUUUCUCUCUUUUUAUUGGUCAAAAAUAAUGAAGAGAAAAAAGAAGAGAUAGAGUAAAAAUAUAAUAUGAAUAUGAGAAAAAAAAUUGUCUAAAAAUUAUCACAAAAUGGUUGUACAAAUAUUAUUUCUCCAUAUUUUAGACACAGGCUAAUCAUUAAUUAAUUUGUGUAAAAAAAAACAAUAAUAUUAUUUUGACAACAUUAUUCAACACCUUAUCUUUCUUUCAAAAAACAUUAUUCAACACCUUAUGUUCAUAUUAUCAUUUGAUUUUCUUAAUUAUGUUUUACAUCAGUCACAUCAAGUGACAUUUUACACGCUUAUCAAUUUUUUUUGUCAAGUAGCCUAGUGUUUAGAACUCAUAUAAUUUAAUUGUGAAGAAAUGAAGUGUCAGAGAUUCGAACUCCAACCCCUGCAUAUAAUAUGCAAUAUCCCUACCAACUGAACUAAGCUCACGAAGAUCGCGGUUAUCAAUUUUUGUAGUUCAAAUAACAUCACUAAAAAAAGCUACGAGGCAGACGCACAAAUUUUCAUUGAGCAGUUGUGUUAAUUAAUUUUAUAACGCAAGGAAAAUGGUGAAGUUUUUGUGAAUAGAGAAAUGAUAUAUAUACAAUCAUUUUCAAACAACUUUUGUAAUAACUUUAUCUCUCAUUUUUAUAUUUUAUUUUUAUUUUUUUCUCUAUUAUUUUGGUUUUCGUUUAUGAUUUUUUGUAAGAAAAUGAUUGUCUAUGUAGUUAUCAAUCACAUUGAUGUUCAAAUAACAUUGCUUUUGUGAAUAAUGCAAAAUAGUUUCUCGGAACAAUCAAUUAUUCAAUUGAUAUUUACGAAAUUAGUUUUUGUAGGGUGUCCCUAUAAAUCACAUAUACUUUAAAACAGUCAUAUGUAUUCACGAUUCGAGAUCUUAUAAAAAAACCAUUCCAGAUCAUGUAUGAAAAUGAAAUAUAUAUUUUUUUUGACUGGUGUAUGAAAAUGAAAUAUUUUCAAAAAUAAAAUAUACUCUCUGCCCAUAUAAUGUCAGCGUAGGUGUCGGUGUUUUUCUACCGACUAUAAGAAAAACUGUAAAAUAAAUAAAACAAUAUAGUAAUUUAAAUUAGUGAUUGUAAAUUAUUGUCUUAAAUGUAUAGUUCAAUAUAAUAGAUUAAAAAUGAUGAAAAAAAUAUUAAUUUAAGAGUAGAAUUGAAAUAACAUAUAUGUUUUCGAUAGUUUAACUAAAUUGAUAAAGACAUUGCAUAAUAAUAUACAAGUGUUUUGAAAUUCCAUUUAUUCAUUACAUGUGAAUUUUUAGAUAUUAAACUAUUUGGAAAAUAAAAUAAAAUAUCAAAUAAUUAAGGUUUAAAUAUGUAAGUAGUCCCUGUAAUUUCGCGUAUUUUUGUUUUCGUUCCUGUAAGUUAUUUUGUUCUAAAACAAACUCUGUAUUUUGCUAACCUUUUGGAAAAGGUCCUUGCCGUCAGCUUCCGUCAACAAAAACGCCAUGGUGGCUAACGGAGCACACGUGGCAGUUCAUGAGUUGGCAAAGUUGAUGAGAUGGAAUGAGAGAUGAUAAGUUGUUAAAAUACAGGGACUAAAAUCAAAAACGUAAAUUGACACAGGGAUGAAAUUAAAAAAACGUUUAAUCUUCUUUUUCCUCUCAAAUUUCAGUCUUCUUCUUCCUCUCAAACUUUCCCCAAUCUAUCCCAUACCUUGCGCCCUUGAACCAAAACUCAUAUCCUUCAACAAUUUAUUCUAAUUCCAUUACUCAAUCAUAUUGUGUGUUUUGAUUGUAAUGUUAAGUUGAAACAUUGUAUGCUACUUAAGUUUGAUUAAUUUAGUGAUGGUUGUUGCGAUUGAUUGCAAAUUCAUUCAUAAAGUUUGUAGAUAAUAAAGGCAAGAAUACAUCUUUUUCAUCCCUCUUUUUUUUCCACAAUUCCCUCUUAUUCUUCCAGAUUGCUACAAUUACCAUACAUAAAUAGUCAGAUCCCCUUUCAUCUUUUCUCACUCACAUUCAAAUUCAAACUCUAAUUUCUCAAAUUUUUGCUUUUGAAUUGUGUAAUUUUGUGUUUUUAUGUAAUUGGUGUAGAGAGUUUAUGUUGUUUUAAUGUGUUGAUUAAGAGUGGGUCUUGUUGUUGUUGAUUGAUGAUUAUUAGUUUUGUUUAAAAAAAUAUAUAUGUUUGUUGUUUUCUUUCUUUUCCUGGGUUUGGUGUUGAUGAUUUAUGAAUAUGGUGAUGAAGAUGAAGAAGACAAUGAAGGAAGAAGAAGAAUAAGAUCUUGAUUUUAAAUUUGAAAUUUUGAUUUUACGUUUUUUAUUUUAGUCCCUGUGGUAAUUUACGCUUUUGAUUUUAGUCCCUGACUUUACACAACUAAUCAUCUCUCAUGCCAUCUCAUCAAAUGUGCCAAGUCAUGACCUGCCACCUGUGCUCCGUUAGCCACAAUGGCGUUUUUGUUGACAGAAGCUGAUGGUAAGGACCAUUUUCAAAAGGUCAAAAAGAUACAAGGUUUAUUUUAUAUAAAAAAAAAAACUUACAAGGACGAAAACAAAAAAUACGCGAACUUAGAGGAACCUUUUACAUAUUUAAGCCAAUAACUAAUAGCACUUAUUUUGGUACAUUUCUCUUUUGCAAAUGUGAAACUUAAUAUUGGAUGGGGUCAAUAAUUUUGAGAAUGAAUAAACCCAUUAUUUAGUCUUUUAAUUUUUUUUUUCCAUCCAUCAGGUUUCUAAACUAUUUACAAACACUAAAUGUCCUUAAGACAUAGCUCAAGUAACAAUAUUGAUAUUGAGAAGUUGGAUAUUUUCAUCCGAGUUUGAACUCGAAUUCUUGCAAUUACGAGUGUGAAUUUCAGGUAAUUUAUAUCAAUUUAUCUGUAAACAAAAGGAGAUAUAUACGCGUAACAAAUAGGUCUAAUGCAAAUUAACAACUUAUUUUUAGUUUAUAAAAUAUAUGAAAUUUAAUCCUUUAGUCCCUAGUAUAUUUUAACAAUGGGCACUAAAGCAACAUAUAUUUCAUAUAUUUUAAAUACUACUACAUCUUUCCUUAUGUAUAAGCUCAUUUGACAUUUUCACAUAUAUUAAAAAAGUUAGUAGUGUCUUGACAAAAAAGAAGCUCCUUAGAGUUUCCUUAUGUAUAUUUUUUUAAACCGAAAAAAUUGUGUACAAAAAAUGACUAUUAUUACUAAAAAAAAUCUUUUGCAUAUAGAUGUGUUCAACAUUUAUUUUGCAAUUCUCAAGACAAAUCAGUGGUACAUCUUAAUAAGUGAUAUAUUUGUUAGGAAAAAAAAUUACUAUAUGUAUCUAGUUAUUUGCAAGACUAAUGAUUCUUAGCAAAUAUGCUUAUAUUGAGAGAACUUUUUUCUAAAGAGAGCUUAUAAUUAGAGACUAAGAUUUUGCCAAAAAAUAAAGAAAAAUUAGAGAAUAAGGUUUAUACUAUACUUUAGAAACUAAUUUGAUGAGAUACGACUAAAUCGAAGAUAUAUUUUUUUAGAAUAGUGUUAGAACCUUAGAAAUUAUAAUCAAUAGAAAUAGAAAUGUUCCUUACAGAUCCAUAAUAGUGACAAUCUUGUCUUUUCUUUUGAGGAAAUAAUAAUAAAGGUGGUGCCAACAUUUCAACAAACCUAGCUAUUUUAAUUAUUCUGUUCUCACAGCCUGCACCUUAGAUCAAAUCCAAAUUGGGUCAUCACCGUUCCAAAAUGCUUAGGGACGUUACUCUAAAUGUCAAUAUGAAUGAGUAAUUCAAAUAGUUAACAUAGCCCGCCAGCCUUAUAUAAUAAUAUCAAUAUAUGUCGACUAAUUAUCGAGAUGCUAAAUUGGAGUACACUUCACAAACAAAAAUCUUUCAUAAGGCGUUUUUUCUCUUAAUACAUUUUUUCUUUUCUUAUGCUAGUAACAUUUACUCUGUAUUGGCCUUCCUAAGAAGAAGUUGGAUAGUAGCAAUGUGUUCGUGAGACUGCUGAUAUCUUAAAAGAAUGUUCUCAUAGAUUCCACUUUUUUAGUAAGCUUUUAUGUGUAUGAGUUUGCAAAUUUAACCCUUUUUAAUUCGGAUAGAUUUAUAAGUCACACCUUCAAGUACAAUCGACAAAAUUUCAGUAAUAAUUACGGUUUAGGGUUUAUGGGUCUAGAUCUACUAAAAAUGAGUGGGUGUAUAAAUUAGUAUAUCCUAGAGUUUAUUAUCUUACGUUCGAUCUUCUUUGCAGAAACUCGUGCAUGUUCGUGAUAUAUAUUUUCGCGAGAAGUACAUUUCCCUAAAACAAAAUCAACCACUGACAUAAACACGUCAAAUGUAAGCCGGUAAAUCCAAGCUUUACUAACACGAGUUAUAUUAUAUCAUUGGCAUCAGCUACUUAAGAACUACUGUAGAAAAUUUACAGCAAGUCAUCGAGGCUUAAUAAAAUGUGUUGAUAUAGUUACAAAGAUAAAUUAAAUAGCAGAGCAUACAUGAAGAGAACAAAUGUAGAGCAACCCCUUAAACAAACCCUCUCAGUAAGGUAUCUUCACAUUACUCUAAGUUCAUAAAAGAUGACUUUAAAAACGAUUAUUUCAAAAUGCAAGUAUUCUCCGACCCCUUUUUCCCGGAUCUAGAUCUAAUAGUGUAAGGAUAUAUAUAAAUCAUUGUCACAUUUUACAACUCAAGAGUUUACCUCAACUCGUUUUGUUUAGGUAAAUUCGACUCGAGAACUCGUAUGACUUUACCUAAAAUUAAAAUUAUAUAAAAUUUAUUAUAUAUGCAUGACAUAUGUAAGUUAAUAUAAUAUUGUAAAUAGGUCAAUAGUGCAAAAUAUGACUUAAUUACAAAGACAAAUUAUACCAUAAUAAAAUGUUAUGCUCAACUUAGCUUCAAAAUACAAAAAUUAACGCACAAAAUCAUAAGUCUCUAAGUUUAAGCCAUCCAUAAAACCAUCCAAAAAAAGAAAGUUUCACAAGUUCCUAAAGUUAUUAAUAAAACUAUCUAAAAAAUAAAGUAGUUAAUUUCUUCAAAACGUCAACAAACACCACCACAACAACCCUAACCAGUGUCACAAUCACCGGCGUUGAAAUAUGAAUUUCCACCGUCUGAAUCACAACCCUAAAUGGUAUGUGCUCCCCUGUUCAUGGUUUGAGAACUUAGAAAAGAAAAAGGGCAAUCCGGUGCACUAAAGCUCCCACAUACGCAGGGUCCGGGAAGGGGUCCCACCAUUUUUUGUGUAUUGUACGCAACCUUACCCUGUUUUUGAUCACAAAAGAAAAAGAAACGUUUCAUUUUAGGAACAACUUGUCACUGUAAAGGUAACUAUUAAUUAAACGUUUCAGUCUUUGGGGUUGUAGAAAAGGAAUUGGAUUUUGAAAAAAAUGGGCACAUAAAAAGGGCCAAUUUUUAGAUGUAAACUCGUAAAACUCAGUAAACUCGGUCGAGUUUACACGAGUUUACCUAGUGUUAACUCGGUCAAACUCGUUAAACCUUCCAAUUUUACCAGAAACCGAGUUUACCUCCGAAUUAACAUGAUUUUGGCACCUACGUAAACUCGAAGAGUUAACACUCAAUUUGCGGAACAUUGCAUAUAUAUUUAAAGAUAUAUGUAUAAUUAUAGAGAAAGUAGAGAAGGGAUAUACCAUUUUAUGUAGGGUUAUUAUGUAUCAAAUCAUAAAGAGUCGAGAGUUGUAUUAUACCAUAAUAUUCUUCCGUAAACUGGUAGUCAUGAUCAUGACGUAUAUUAUUCAAGUAUAUGCAAAAACAUGUCUGUAUCUAGUCUAAAUUUUUGACCAAAUGCAUGUAUUUGCUUAUAUUUUGUUACUACUUACUACUCGCCAAGUAAUGCUCAAUAUCUAAUAUAUAUAUUUCAAGACCAUCAAAGAUAACUCAGUUGAACAAUACAUAAUAUAUGCAAGGUUCGGGGUAUAUUACAUUUUCAAUUAUUCUAAUAAUAAAUUUAAAUGACACUUAAAUUAUACAACUAUUAAAUAGAUCUUAGUACCGUAAAAUUUAUAUUCGAGACUUGCUAGGGAGAACCAUCAACCUCAACAAAAAUUUCUACUUGAAUCUAACGCAAACAAAAGGUCCAACCAUCUAUGAAUCUCCGUUGAUAUCACAAAUGAUGUUUGAUACAAGAGAGACAUAUUAGAACAUAAUCUAUGUACAAUCUACAUUAAAAUAAAAAACAAGUCUACAGUCAUAUAAAUAACACAAUUUCAAAAUCUCAAAAUUAGGUAUGAAAACAAAAUGAUUAGAAAAAUAAAUGAUUCAAUCAUUCCGAGAUUUGUGCAAAAAAAAAAAAAAAAACAUUUUGAAAAUACAAUGUUAGAAACUUAUGAUCAAUAUAUAUUUUUCCUUACACAUCAAAAAUAAUUAAGCUAUAUUCUUGUCUUUUCAUUUUGGGCAAACUAAAAUUAAAAUCAAGGUAGUGUCAAUGUUUCUAUAGUCCUAGCUAUUUGAUUUUCUUCUAAGCUAACAAGAGUCUUCCAAAAUCAAAUUCGCGCUCAAAAUUAAAGCAACUUGGGUGGUAACCAUUCCAAAAUACUUAGGGCCACAUUGCUCUAAAAGUCAAUAAGAAUAAGUAAUAAUUCAAAGAUAGCCAACCUUAUAGUAUAUUUUAAUAUGAAUGUAUGCAUGUUUCCUAGAAGGUGAGUAAGCUAACUAAUCAAGAUACUUUGUUGGAGUUAAAUAUGGUAAAGAAUCCAACUAUAAAAUGGGGACUUGCCCCAGCAUUCUUUCACAAACCAAAACCAACUUCUAAGAAAAAAAUGAGGUCCCUAAUGGCCUCUGCUUCUCUCACUCUUGCAUUAGCCAUCCUCUUUUUGAGUUUCCCAUCUGAAAUUUCAGCAAACAAAUACGCAUAUUCCUCUCCACCACCACCACAUUACUCAUCUCCUCCACCUCCACCGGUUCACACUUACCCUAAACCAGUCUACCACUCUCCACCACCACCAGUUCACACCUACCCUAAACCAGUUUACCACUCUCCACCACCACCAGUUCACAAGUACCCUCACCCUAAACCAGUAUACCACUCUCCACCACCCCCAGUUCACAAGUACCCUCAUCCACACCCAGUCUACCAUUCUCCACCACCCCCAGUUCACAAGUACCCCCAUCCUCACCCAGUGUACCACUCUCCCCCACCACCACCACCAAAGAAGUCCUACAAAUACCCAUCUCCCCCACCACCACCAGUUCACACCUACCCUAAACCAGUCUACCACUCUCCUCCACCCCCAGUUCAUCACACCUACCCUAAACCAGUCUACCACUCUCCUCCACCCCCAGUUCACACCUACCCUCACCCUAAACCAGUCUACCACUCUCCACCACCCCCAGUUCACACUUACCCUAAACCAGUCUACCACUCCCCACCACCACCAGUUCACACCUACGUCCCUCACCCUAAGCCAGUCUACCACUCUCCACCACCACCAGUUCACACCUAUCCCCCACAUGUUCCCCACCCAGUUUACCAUUCUCCUCCUCCUCCAGUUCAUUCCCCACCUCCACCACACUAUUACUACAAAUCACCUCCUCCACCUUACCACAACUAGAUAGCCCAUAAUUGGCAUCACACCAUAUGGUAACUUUUCAUGCAACAUAUAUAUUAUAACUUUUCAUAUUCUCUCUUUAUUAACUAGUUAUCGGUAUGAUUGUCGAGUAUAUACUAACAAGGCUAAUUUGAAAUGAAACUUCAUGUGCAAUGAAACAUUCUUUUACUGGUUAAUAUUUUAUUCUAUGUUUCAUUGAAAUUAAUAUUUUUCUAAUAGUAUUUGGUUAUUAAGGGAUUAGAGUAUAUCAGACAUAAACUGACAGAUCAAUAUAUUUGCAUUUGUGUAGGAUCUAAAC